UUUUUUUUUUUUUUUUGGCGUUCCUGAUGUGGAAAAUGUUGAAUUCUUGUUACUUUUACCUUGAACUAGAACUUUUUUUUUUUUUUUUUUUUUGUUAUUUUGGCCUUUUCGUCAUUUGAAUUUGCUUGAUUUUUCUUUUGCUUUUUCCUGACAGGUUGUAUGCUUAGAAGGCUAUGCCUUAGGUAGUACCUUAUUUAGAGGCUAAGAGUAUCUUGGUAGAAUUAAGGAUGGAGUUCUCACCCAGAUAGAGAAACUAAUUGUAUGAGUUCAAGAGAAAUGAAAAGCGGGGUUGAACUUUUGGUUCAUCAACAGGGGGAAAUAGAAAGAAAAAGAAGGAUAAAGAAAUUAAGGAGAGUCAUUUUUUUUCCCUGUAAAGAAUUAAGGUUUAUGGGAUUUCCAUGAUCUUGCAUGCUUGUUCUGCAGAUGUUCUCUGGUUUAAGGAAACUGGAGAAAUUUUUUUAAUGCAUUUUAACCAUGCAAGUUUUCCACAGUUGAUGGUAAGAAAGUAAUCAGACCUAUAGGAUAUUUGGGUAGUUUCACAAAUUUGCUACAAGCAGACUUGUUAAAAGUGGAUGUACAAACUAUCUGGGACUUUCAAAGGAUGCAGAUUAUCAUCAUUCUGGUAUAUGCCUGACUCGAGAUAGUCCACAUUGCAAAUUUGUGGCCUUCCGCUGUAUUUGAAAAUAGGGGUCCAAAGACUGGAGAUUUUUUGAGCUGCACAUAUGUGCUGUAGCGAACGUGUUCAUGUUAGAUAUUCUUUUGACUCGGGAUGAGAUCUGCAAGUUCUUGACGUGCAAUGUUCGCAUUGUAGUGGCAUGCUGUCCAAAGACAGGAGAUUUUUUGAGCUGGACAUAUGUGCUGUAGCGAACAUGUUCAUGUUAGAUAUUCUUUUGACUCGGGAUGAGAUCUGCAAGUUCUUGAUGUGCAAUAUUCGCGUUGUAGUGGCAUGCUCAAUAUCUUCAUGUUAGACUUCGUCUAAACAAAAAAAAGGUUGAUAGCUUUCAUGGUUGUAGAUAGAAUUAAACAAUAAGAAAUUCAAAUUUGUCAAUCCAGUGGGAGAUUUGAAAUUGUUGAUAGCACAGAAAAUUCAAACAAGAAAUAUGAAGUGUUUGGUUACAAGUUAUAAUCUGAUUAAUAACUUGAGUUUAUACUCUGUGUUGGGCAUUCAUAGUUGAGAAACUUCUAGAACAAAUUCUUUUCUAGUUGGAAUGACAGAUUAGCUGUUCUUGGGUGGUGUUAAACUGAACUUUUGACAUUUUGAUAUCAUGCUUUUGAAAGGAGAGUAAGAAGAGAGGGGCAAUGUAUCUUCCUAAGAUUGGACAAACCUGAUAUUUACUGAUGGUUCAGAAAACACUAUGUUCUGCUGAUUCUUUUAUGUAUUCAUAUCUAGUUAAAUGGCUUUGUACAAUCUGUAGGACAGCUUUCUCCUGCUUGAUUUGAAAGGGGAACGUAUGAUUAACAAAAAUCUCAUAGGCUUAGCUUCUUACUCUGUCUUUUUUACUCUAUAGUUUAUAAGCUUGAGCUGGCACAACUUAGUAUUGUCAGACUAAGAUCUGUUCGCUGUGUCAAACUAUUUUGACAUUGCUUUCCUUGUUUGGGUUCAAAGUUACCUUUUCUAACAUUAUGCAUUUGAACAAUGUUAUACUGACAUGCAGCAUGAGAUGUUGAUAAAACUUCUACUUAUUCAGUAGUUGUAUUCUUCAAUUUCCAACUAGAAGCAUUUGUGAAAGUCUUUACAUUCAUUUCUUUCUGAUAGGGUGUUUUUAGCUCUUGCUGGAUGCUUCCUGUGAAUUAGAUUGUUUUCCUCUGUUUCAAGUACUACUAGGAUUUAGGAGAGGUGUAAAAGAAGAGUUGAAAUUAAACUACUAGAUUAAAGAGAAAGUGUGAAAAAUGUUGGAUUACUUUGCGUGAUACCUAAAUCUUGAAGGGAAAGUAGGAACCAGUUAAGGUAACUAAUGCUUUUUGGGGAAUAAGAAGUUGGUUGAGAAAAGGAACUGAUACUAUUUUAUUUGCAAAGUCCCAUUUGAGUAAUGUAAAACAUUUGAUUGCUGCUUACUACAUAUAAUGCCUAAAGGUGGACUUGGGGUAAUGUCAUUUGUUAUGUUUAAAAGUAGUAGCUAUGUGUCACUAAGCUGACUACUCUCCCAACCCUAGAUCAAUAAUUGGGGGGGGGGGGGUCUUAACAAAACAUGCUCAUGGAGUGUGUAUUAAGCACUGUUGAAAGGGAAAAUAAGAAAUGUGAGGUAGGAUAUAUGAAAUAUUAGAUAUUACAAUUCUGUUAUUGCAAAUUGUAAUAUCAUUCAGACUAAGGUAAAAGAAGUCAAGUCUUCUUGAGGAUCAAGGAGAUACUUUUUGUAAGAGUGCAAAUGUUUGAAUUCAGUUAUUGCUCUUUAUCAAUAAGAUUUGAUCCACUACUCUUGUUCUGGUUGAUGUCUUUGAACAUACAAAACUUCUUAUACCAUGUCCAAGAUGAUAGAGCACUGCAUAUUCUGGUCUAUGUCAAAUUUGCAAUCAAUCACGAGGGCUUUUUUUGUUUGUCCAGGAUUUGGAUGUGAUACUGCUGCAGUUGUCAAUAUUCUUGCCCAUCGAGAUGCAACACAACGUUCUCUAAUUCAAAAUGAGUAUAGAAGCAUGUAUCAUGAAGCGCUUAGCAAACGGGUGUCUUCAGAGCUUAGUGGUGAUGUCAAGGUAGUAAAAUAUAGUAUCUUUGCAUUUUCUUUAUGUUCUGGAAACUUUUCUAGUUGAUUGUAUGUACCAAUAUUACAUUUUUAUACUUUAAAUAACUGUCAAAGUAACAAAAAAAUGACUUGAAUAAAAGCUCAGCAUCCUGCAGAAAGAAAGCAAGAUCAAUGUGGGAAAUAUUUGUUUUUUGAAUUUGCAUUCUUUAAAUUACUGACAAUGUAUUUUGGGUACUUGCUUCAGCGGGCAGUCCUACUGUGGCUGCAUGACCCUGCAGGACGGGAUGCUACCGUAGUAAGACAGGCUCUGCACAGUGAAUUGGAUCUGAGAGCUGCCACUGAAGUAAUAUGCUCCCGUACUUCAACCCAGAUUCAGCACUUCAAACAAGUUUACCACUCACUAUUUGGUAGUUAUCUGGAACAUGAUAUUGAAUAUCAAGCAACUGGAGAUCACAAAAAGGUUCUCUCUCUCUCUCUCUCAGAGCUGGAGGUGAAAAAACUAUGGUUGUGGCAAUUUUCUUGUAGUUCUAUUUAAAGCUUCAAUUGCUUUUCAUUGGAAUACAUCAAUGUGAAUCUGGAGGUAUUAGAAUCAUUGGUUUUUUAAUGCCUGUGCAAGGGAACCUGUGGACUGAACCUGUUGCUUUUCACUAUAAUUUUUUCAUUUUUAUUUACGUAAAAGCCUUAUAUUACCUUCUCUGAUGUAACAUUUGUCGGCAUACAUUUUGUACUUUCUUGUGGCAUUGGUGUCUUAUACUCUUCUGCUAUUGAUUUUGGUGUCCUAGUACUACGUGGCUUCUAUUGCUAGUUGAGUAGUCUACCUAAAGAAGUAAUUCAUCGAUCUGUUAAUAUAUAGUCCCAAAGAAUCUAUUGACCUUCUUGAUAUGUAUAGCUUUCUAGCAUUGAAUCAGUGAAGAGGCCAUGAGGUCGAUUUCUCUUUGCAACUUGGUAAAUUUGAAUUGAAAUUCUGCCAAAGCAAACUUCUUUGUUAGUUCUAUAAUGUUUCAUUAGCAGCAAGUCAAAGAACUCUUUAAUUAACCAUCAUCCUUCAAUUAUACUCUAAUUUUCUAAGCCAUUUUUUUUUAACAUAAAAUGCUACAGAAGAGGUUGUUUUAAUCAAAUUCUAAGACACUUUCUCGAUUUACUGGCUUCGUGUAGCUUCUACUUGCAUAUGCAAGUACACCACGCUAUGAAGGCCCAGAAAUAGACAGAGCAAUGGUUGAACAUGAUGCUAAAGCUCUCUAUAAAGCUGGGGAGAAGAAGUUGGGAACUGAUGAGAAGACUUUCAUUCGCAUUUUCAGUGAAAGAAGCAGGGCUCAUUUGGCUGCUGUUGAUUCUGCUUACCAUAGCAUGUAUGGAAACUCACUUAAAAAGGUAAAUUUUCCCAUUCUUGUCUUCUCUCAGUUCAGCUUCCCUAUAACCUUAGUGUCUUAAGUAUGAGACGUUUUGCAGGCAGUGAAAAGCGAAACAUCUGGGCUCUUUGAGUUUGGCCUCGUGACUAUCUUACAAUGUGCACAAAACCCAGCUAAGUAUUUUGCAAAGGUAUUAUCUCACUAUCCUUAAACCAGAAACGCUGGACUUUACAUGUAAAUCUGUGAAUCAAUUAAGUUGUGUGGUGCUCUCUUAUGAGUCCAUUUUCCUUUGCUGUUUUUGAUCUCCCGAGAUUAUCUCUCUCUGCCAUGCUAUGUGAAAUCCUUCUGGUCCUUUGUUGUCUUCUGUUACAAGAUUUAUCUUAUGCAGGGUCCUACAUUCUUGUAAUCUGUUUGAAAUUUCCUUCAAUAUCAAAUAUUUACCUUCUGUAUGCAAAAAAUUUUUGUUUCCAUGAUAUGCAUUUGAUGUUUUCUAGUAUUUCACAAGCCUAUAGGGAUUCUGUGGUUUCCAUUUCUCCAGCUAAACAUGUACAUAGGAAGUUACGCUUCUUGUUGUCAUUCUUUUACUCUUUAAAUUUAAUACUCUCCAGGUGCUGCGCAAAGCAAUGAAGGGCUUAGGAACUAAUGAUACAACACUUAUUCGCGUAAUAGUGACAAGGACUGAAAUUGACAUGCAAUACAUCAAAGCAGAAUACCGAAGGAAACAUGGGAAAAGUCUGAAUGAUGCUGUUCAUUCUGAGACCUCUGGUCAUUAUAGGACUUUCCUGCUUUCACUUCUGGGACCAAAUCACUGAUAGAGAAGGCAUAUAUUGGUGCAGUAUCAGCUACACAGUCAAUUCCAGAAUAUGGAGUAUGGUGUGGAUUGUGUAGAUAUGAGUUGCUGUGGUAGAAUAUUAAACUCUGUAGGAAUUGCUGAUUGUUAAUCUCUCCUGUCUUCCCUCCCUGUAUCAGUCACUCUCCUUAGGUCCAGAAUGGCAUCUGCUGUUAAGGAUUUUUAGUAGUUUUCUCUAGAUUGCAUUUACUGCUCAUCUGACAUUGUCAACUGGUUUUUGUGCACAAUUUGUGUUGUUUCAAGGCCCUUGUUCUUCUGUUUUUGGGUUGUAUCUGUAUCUUUGUUUUGAGUCUUUGCAUCGGUGAUAUGCCUAGUGGGAUAUGUCAAAAUCCAUCAGGAAACCUAAUUUUCAAAGCUUUUACCAUCUGUAACCAAAAACAAAGACCUCCAUUGUGUGAUGAAGAAAAUUUUCAUUGAAUCUCACCUAGAUUAUAUAUGUAUAUUCUCUUUCCUUUUUCUUUACCCUAAUAACCUUUUCCGUAAUAAGCUCCCUCUUUGUCAAAUUAGCUCUAACUAAUUGGAAGAAAGACACAAACCUAAGGACAAUGAGUUCACUGGUCAAGCACAACAAUUUUCCAAUGCAAUAUAUUAUCAGAAAUAUACGUUAACUAUAUGAAAAUAGUGGAUUAAUGAUGCCUCAAAUUAAUAUUUUAAAUUUGAUUUAAAUCAAUAUGAGUUGAGCGAUCAAUGUUCAUUUUAAGGGUAGCUAGUAAAGAGGUAAGAGAAAGAGAAUGAUCCAAUGAAUGAAUGUAACCUAACUUGAAGGUUUGAUUCGAUUGUUAAAUCUUUGGACUAUAUUGCUGUGUACCCCAAACAUUAGAGGUCAAAACUGCAAAUCCGCUAUAAUGGCAAGCUUUUAAGAAAGAAACUUUUUAAAGAUUUCCUUGACUCGUUUCUUAAUUACUUUUUUUAUUUCAUAGACAUCAUAUUAUCACAAUAUUCUUCUAUAAAACUUUUUAAAAAACUCCAAUCCAAAUGGGCUCGCUCUUAACAUUUAUAUCCAAGAUUAACAUGGUUGUUUGUUUCCUCGUUUAUCAAUUAAUUGGAAAAUUUUCUUCUAUUGCCUCAAUAAUCAAAAACUUUAGGGACGAAAUGACCUUUUGGUGAUACAUGGGAGACCAUAUCUGUCAACCUGCCAAACUUUGUAGAAAAAAAAAAUACAAGACUUUCUUUCUUUCUUAAUUUAUGAAAUGCUUCAAAACAACCCAAAACAACCAGAACCAGGAUAAACUAGCUGACUAGUGAGUACUGAAGUAGUUUUUAUUUUAUUUUAUUAGAGAAGUAUAUUCCAUGUCUUUCAAUUUCUUGAAAGCAGUACCUCUGAAAAUGUCAUUGUCCUGUAUAGUUUGUUAUUACUUCUAGUUACAGUUUCAUGUAGGCUUUGCCUGGGACUGUUUUUUUUUUUUUUUUUAAACUAUAUUUUAAAGUAUGUUUCUUAUAGAAGUUUAUACCAAAAAAAGAUGUUGUAAUCUAGAAGAGGAGGAAGGUUUUUUACUAGGACACAUACUAACUGGAGUUGAUUGUGUGCUACUCCAAUCAGAAUACCAUUUUCAAAAGAAGCUUUUGUCUCUUUGAAACAGUUUUGUAAAUUCUUCCCAUCUUUGAAUGCAUAAUAAACAAAUUUAUAUCUUUCUUGGGGAAUUUAAAGACUGCACAUUGUUUUAACAUAGGCCAGUUGAGUCUUGAGAAGUUAAAACAGCAUCUUCUAAACCCCCACUAACUUGCCAAAACAGUUGAAAAAAAAAAAUGAUGGCAGAUGUAUUGUCAUUUUAGCUUUUAAAAAUUCCAUCAAGUUCCCUAUUAAUUUGUUUGAAAAAAUGACAUUAAAAAUUAAUUGGAUUCAACUGUUAAAUUCAAUAAUCUUUUCAGGAAUCAGUGAAUUAAAAUACAAAAAUUGAUCAUUAAACAAGAUUCUAAAAUAAAUCAGAAUAAAUUAGAAAUAAAUAGAUAAAUGUAUUGAUAUAAGUUGGAAUAAGAGGCCAGGAUGGUCUAAACCCUAAAUCCUAAACCCUAACCUCCCUUCCCAUCUUCAUUGGCUUAGUUUAGUCCUCUAGAGUUGCAUUAAAUCCAGCUACUACAUUCCUUUCUUUAUUCCUAACCAACAAAAUCAUGCAUUCUGGUUUGAUUAACGUGGAUUGAUUAGGACCUUCAAGUACAAUUAAGACGAAAAAAAAAAAGAAUCAAGUGUAAUUUGGUAAAAUCACGAACUAUUUUGAGCAAUUACUGUGACAAUUUGGUGAAAACAACAAUAGGUUGUAUUCUAUACAUCAAGUGAUUAGGAAAAAAGAUUUUUUGUCUUGCACAUUAAAAUGACCAAAUGUAUAGACAAUUGCUCUAUUUUUUGCUCAUUGCUGUAUGUGAGAUUCUCAAUUUGUGUAGACCAGAUUGUUGCAGCUGACGUUUGAGGAACUCGAAAUGAGUUUGUUCUUUUUGGCAAAUAUGGCAGGGAUCGAAUAUUUGGUAUUGAAUAAAUAAUUUUUGUUGCCAAACUAAAUAAUAAUAAUAAUGGAAUUUGAAGCCCAAUAAGUGAAUAUGCUAGAGAUGUAAAUAAGGUUGCACGCUUUUUAGCCCACUAUGCUAGAACUGUUAACCUUAAUAAAUCUCUUUGAGAUUUCCCUCUAGAUUUUGUAAAGCAAAUUGUGCCGGAUGAUUUCCACCAAUUCCAUUAGUGAAUUUUCGUUCCCUUUUUUAUCAAAAAAGAAAAAUUAAUGUCCCUGUGCCAAAAUAUCAUCAUAAAAUUCUCUUUAGUGUUCAAUACCAUCAAAAUUUUGACCUUUGUAUUUGAAGUGUUGAAAAAGAAUUCACCGGUGGAGUCGUUAUAAUCACGUAUACGCAAUCAAGAAGUCGUGUCUAGAUUACGUAUGUGCAGAAACACUUUCUAUUUCUGGAAAUGGAAAAAAAAAACGAGAAAGAUAAUAACUUUUGUCAACUUGCAUAAAAAAUGGCUACAACUUUUGAUGCGUAGUAAAAAAAGAUUAAGAACCUUUUGAGUUUUCAAACUUUACUAAUUCUCUCCAAAUAUGCACCAAAAUUCCUAAAGUUUACUGGAGAGAAUGAAUAAAGUUUGGAUGUUGAGAAGGUCCUUAAUCUUUUUUCAAUCUUUUUUCAAUGUGCGCUAAAAUUUGUGAGAUUUUUUGCUCCUGAAAAUCUAAACUUACUGUUAAUCUAGAUGCAUUUUUGGCUAACUUAACACCGGAAUUUUGAUGGAAUGACCGAAAAAGACACAUUUUUAUGAGUUCGGUAACCCUUUUAGCCAAAAAAAAAAAAAAAAAAUUGAAUGACCAAAUGGUGCAAUUUUAAAUAAUUGAGUAACCUUUUUAACCAUUUGCUCAAUUGUAAAAGCUCUCACCUAAUAAUCAAGAAAAACUUUUUUCCUCUGAUUUUUGUGUUAAAUUUUGAGCAGAAAAUGAUCCCCCCCUUGGACUUACGUAGCUCAAAGGAAGCUUCCUUCCAUCUCCACCCUACUGUCCCACCCUUUUGUCUUAGUUAUAUAAGCAACCUUUAUGCGGUUUCCCUCCAUAAUAUAAGCAACCUUUAUGCAGUUUCCCUCCAUAAUAUAAGCAACGGUUACUCAGUUUCCCUCCGUAGAUCUUCACCAAACAGCCCUGAUCUUAAAAUCUUUGCAUAAAAAUAACCCCUUGGACUUGCAUAGAUCAGGAGGAAGCUUCCUAGGUACCAUCCUCCCGAGUCCUACCUUUCUGUCUUUGUUAUUCAAGCAACCUUUUCUCAGUUUCCCCCGACACAUCUUAAACCAAACAACCCUGAUAAUUUAACUCUCUUGGAAGCUGUGUUUCAAACCACAUCCAUGGCUUCCAAGAACCUCCAGAAUAUCAUUCUUCUCUACAAUAUCAUUCUCAUUUGUGGGCUGUGUUUGGUUUACUCAAAAGCUGAACUUCCAAGGUUUGAACAUCCCAUCAAACCUGAUGGAUCGCUCAGUAUUUUGGUUGUUGGAGACUGGGGAAGAAGGGGAGCUUAUAACCAAACAGAAGUUGCAGCUCAGGUUCUUAUUUUUCUGUAUUUAUGGAAACUCUUGAUUACAGUUGGCCGGAUGAUAUUUAGAUCAAAUUUUUAGAUGGUUUGGCAAAUAUUCUGGACUCCAAGAAAAGAAAAAAAGAUAAUAUAAGUUUAAACAAGUCAUUGCUAAUUGUUCUUGUGGGGUUUGAAAUUUUCCAUUAAAUUAUGAGGUAGAUAAAAACAAAUAAAUGUUGUCAUAGUCAUUAUUGCAGUUUGGUAUUAGACUGCAUUAGUUUUGGACACAAGGAUAAGUAUAUGACGCAUAUAUUUUGUUGCGCUGAGUGCAUAUUUGAGCUCAGAUGUUUCAUGAUUCUUCCCGUUUUGGUCGGAACUGAGCGUAACCAGACACUAUUAGGACAUUUUUAAACAAAAAAUAUGAAAUGACAAAAUCCCAAAAGAAGAAAAGAUUAACAAUGUCAAUCUUAGGGCAUCCACAGUGACAUUCAUAUGCUAUAUUAGCAUUCUACUAUCUCAUCUUUUAUCAUACUCUUACUUACAAUGGAUUACACUCCAACACGGUAUAAUGGUAUAGAUCCACAAUCAAAUCAAACAUUUAUUUGGAGCAAUUAACAUAUUUCUAAAACUACUAAAAUUCUCAUCAAUAAUCACAAAAUAUUGAAAUUUUAGAAAAUUGUGCAAAGAGGUUGAGGAAAAUGAGUGAGAGAGUAAGAGAAAUAAUAUGGUAGAACAGUGAGAUAUGAAAAAAACAAAGGUGUCUUAUGUGUUUAUAUAGAGAAAAUAAAAAAAAGACCGUUAAAAAAAAAAUUAAACGUUAACUUGCACUAUGAAAUUUUAUCCGUUGUAGAAAAAAAGCCCACUAUCUCCUUUUUUUCAGCAACAUUUAUGCACAUCAUUCUGAUGACACGUAUAAUGCUCAUUACACGGCCACAAUGGAUGGCCAUAGGAUGAGUUCGUGUCAUGGGAGGUAUAAUACUAAAAUUUACUGGGAUCAAAUAAGAUGCAACUUUAAAAUUUUUUAAAUUUUCUAAACCUAAAAUCGAAUUUUUUUCAAAGUUAAGUGGGGUCAAUUGAUCACCCCACUUGCUUACAAGUGGUUUCGCCACUGUGUGUGUUUGUGUAAAAUUGUUAUUUUAAAAUUCAUGCAUCAAGUUUAUUAUCACAAAAAUUCUAAAUCUACAUCUUUUUAAUCUUAAAUUUACAAGCUAUAUAAGUUUUAUUGCGCACAAUACAAGUCCUUAAUGCAUUCAAGGCAUGAAUUUUAUAACAUGAGAGUGUCAAUUUAAGGUAUUAUUGAGUUUAGUUUUUUUAAGCCAUACCAUUACCAUGUGUUCUAGUUUCUUGUUUCAUAAAUAAACUAAAUGAUAGGUGUCUGAGUGGGGGUGGUUGUGAUCUGAUGAUACGUGGAUUUUGAGAAUCCAUUGGAACGAACAUGAUAUUAACACAAUAGUUCUUAAGAAAUUGUAUUAACACUGUAUUAGGUUAUAGCAUAGUCAGAAAUCAACUAAAUAAUCAUCUUUUCGCCGCUAAUUAAACAACAUCUGGCCAGUGCAUGACGAAACUAAACCAAAAUACAUCUCAUCAUUUGCUUUAGGACAAACAUAAAAUAUAUGUAGUAUAAUAGUUCUUAAAAAAUUGUAUUGACUGCGUAUUAGGUGGCAGUAUAUGAUUAGAUAUGGAAGUAAUCAACAAAAUAAUUAUCUUUUUACUCCUUAAUAAUAUUUGACCAGUGCAUAACUAACCUUAGCUUUUCUCCCAUGCACGUAGCUUUCAACUUUGGUCUUGUGACGCUUUUAGCGUCCAAUUAAAGAACGUUUCUUGUCAGCAAAUGUAUUGUUGCCAAAGUUAUUACGCUUUCGUGUUGUGGUUUUUUUCUUCCUGGCGAAUAGGGAAUAAUUCCAUAUAGAUGCCAUUAAAAAAAAAUCCAUAUAGAUUCUUUAAUUAUUCUCUCCACAUAAACAAGCAUAGGAACCUAGUGGGACAUGUGGACUAAAAUUGCACUUAUUCACCAUUGAGAAAGUUGAGAUUUUUCUAAUUUCUUUUUCAUCUUGAUUUAUGCUUGAUUUAAUUCAAUAAAAAUCUAGGACAUCAAUGAUUAAACAGCAUUUUUUUUUUCUCUUGGUCACAAUUGAGUUAUAAUUCCGGAGCCCAUGAUAAUGCGUAUUUGAAUAAGAAUUUAGUACUAUAUAAUGAUAGAAAGGGUGCUAUUUUUCUUCGUAAUCCAUCAUACUACAUGGCAUUCAUGUCUAAUAAAAUAAUUCUAUUGUAUGCAUUUAGCUUCAAGCUGAAAAUUGAACCAAAGUGGCAGAAAAAGAGGAUAAAAGUUGCAUUGUCUAAUUGUCAAAAUACUAAUACUCCAUACUCCAGAGAAAGAAAAUGUGUUUCAUUUUUUCCUUUGUCUUGCUAAGGUAAACUUGAUUUUGAUGUUAUGAAUAGAUAGAUUGAUUACAUUAAUUCUAACAGCUUAAAACAACUCAUCACUUCGCAACUAUACAAUGUAAAAAGCCAUCUAAAACAUCUUUUGCGGAUUGCAUUUUCGUUGCUUAAGCAGCCUAUAUAUUGUGCAAGCAAGCUACAAUCCUUUGCAUCAAACAUACUACUAAUUCAUUAGAACAAGAAUUUUUCUAUUGAAAUAUCCUGCAAUUCCUCUCUUGCAAUAGAAACUAAAAAUCACCACAGUUUAUCAAAUCAACUAUACUAAGUCAGUAAAUGUGCUAAAAAGGUGGAUAUAAAAUAAAAAAUGCUGAAUAGACUCCUCCAAAAAAACAUAGGAUCCACCGUUUGUCCACUAGCAUCUCCAAAACUAGUUUCUUUUUUUUUUUUUUUGAGUCGUAUUAGUUGUAGAUAAAAUUGUUCCCUAAAAACUCCUAGAGGUUAAUUUACUCAUACUCUUUCAAUGUUAAAGGAGCUAAAUUUGCCCAUCCAUUUGCUAAUUUUGCAACCAUAAGAUCUUUAAACCCCCUUAAAUGUACAUAGCAUCUCUUUUGUUUUUCUUUUUGAGUAAAAAUGUUACAUAAACUAGACUAUAGGAAAUUGGAUGAAUCGAGAUGCUAAUGCAAAUGUAAUUAGACUAUGAUUUUGGUUUAUAUAUACUGUAUUUGUUAUCAUAGUUAUAAAAUCCAACUCGAUCAUUGAACCGGUCAAUCUGAUUAACCAGCCAUAGGAUUGGGUUGGAUUGCUAAUUAAACCAAUUAAACAACAAACCUGUUGACCAAUUAACAAUUCAGUUGUUCAACCAGUAAAUCCGGAAAAAAUCGCCAGUUGAACCCCCGAUUGAACCACCAACUUAAAAUUGUACUAAUUUUAUAAUUUAAAAUUAUAUUAUUAUAACAUAUAAGAUAACUGUCAUGCAAUAUACUCCGGGUUGAGCUCGGACUAAAUUUAAUAACUAUAUGUUUGUUAUCCUCCAAUAGAUGGCAAAAAUUGGCGACCAGGUGGAACCAGAUUUUAUCAUUUCUACUGGAGACAAUUUUUACGAAGAUGGAUUGACCGGCGUCGAUGAUCCAGCAUUCGAGGAGUCAUUUAGCAAUAUCUAUUUGGGCCCGAGUCUGCAAAAGCAGUGGUACAAUGGUAAUUUCACGACCCAAUAUUAUAUUUUCACCCGUGCACCAUUUUUUUCGUUAUCGUCCGCUAAUUAUUGUCCAGAUUAAUUUCGGUGCAGUUUUAGGAAACCAUGAUUAUAGAGGGGAUGUUUUGGCACAAUUGGAUCCCAUCCUCAGAAAAAAGGAUAGUAAAUGGUUGUGUCUCAGAUCUUUUAUCCUCAACACAGGUAAUUUUCAUAUUAAUGUACUCCAAAACUAUUUAGGAUACAAAUGUCAUUUUCUAAUAAGGGAAGGUGACACGCCUUAAUACAUAUUUAGGCUCUGAAAUAAAGUGAUUAUUUAUUCAACGAACGAAAACUGCAACGUCGAAAUUUAAUAAUUUUUUUUACAGCAAAAAAAGUAGUUAAAACUGGUCUUGACAUUAUUUUCUGCAUCAAUUUUAAGCAGAUGUUGCGGAAUUUUUCUUCAUCGAUACAACUCCAUUCGUAGAUAAAUAUUUCACUAACCCAAAACAUCAUAAAUAUGACUGGAGAGGAGUGCUGCCAAGAGACGAAUAUCUUUUUAAUUUGUUGAAGGUAAAUGAGACAUUUAUUAAUUUUUGAAUUAAUUUACUGAUGAUUUGUAGUUAAUUACCAAAGAAAAAGCUUUAAGCAUUUCGAGUUUGCAUUAAUUAUUUUUAUGCAUUAAAAAAAUUUAAAUAACAUUUAUGUUUAGAGCUCCAUUUCUGCAUUGCAUUUGAGGAAUUUCCUCUGAUCUAUCUUACUAGGAUUUAGACACUGCCCUAAAGGAAUCAAGUUCAGAUUGGAAGAUAGUUGUUGGUCACCAUACACUUAGAAGCGCUGGAAAACAUGGAAUCACAUUUGAGCUUGAGGAAAGGCUUCUUCCAGUGCUUCAGGUAAACUUGAUUAAUCCAAUUUAAUUGUGAUUUUGUUGUACUUUUGCUCUAAAAACGAAAUCAUCCAUCGAUUGUACUUAUUUUAUGCACAUCAAUAAGAAACGGGCCAAGACCAUGAUCAUCAUACCUUUCAUUCAUAGAUAUAUAGAUCUUCUAAAAUGUUAUGCUUAAACAUGAUCCAAACAAUAAUCUAAUCUACAAAUUUUCUAGGAAAACAAUGUUGAUCUUUACGUAAAUGGACACGACCACUGCUUGGAACACAUCAGUAGCCCUGACAGGUAAAAAAUUUACAUUGCAUAUUUUUAUGAGACUGAACAAAAUUUCAGAUGGAAAAUUAAGAACUCUUUGAUCACUAUUGCAGUCCACUCCAAUUUCUGACGAGUGGUGGAGGAUCAAAGGCAUGGAGGGGAAAUAUUCGGCCUUGGAGCCCUGAGGAGUUGAAGUUGUAUUAUGAUGGGCAAGGUUUCAUGGCCAUGAAGCUCACCAAGUACGAUGUUUAUAUCCAGUUCUAUGAUAUUGUUGGCGACAUUUUGCACCAAUGGAGCGGUUCAAAAGGGUUUUACUCCGUGUAAUUAAAUAGCAUUUCAUUAGAGGUUAAAGCUGGUUUAACCGGUUAAGAAUUGGUCAAAAAUGCUCCAAAAUGAAGAGACUAAACCUAGUAGUACUAGUACCUGUAUGCUCCUUAAUUGGAGCAAUCUUAGUAGCUUCCCACAAACUUACCAAACAGUUGGAAAGAAAAUGGUACAUAUUGUUAUUUUAGUUUUUUAAAAAUCUCAUCAAGUUCCCUUGUAGUUUGUUGAAAAAUGCCAUUAACCAAUUAGUUCAAUUGUCAAAUUCAACAUUCUAUUGAGAAAUCAAUCAAGUAAGGGAUAAUUUUAGAAACCUCCCUCAAGGUUUCUGAUAAUGACACUUAAAUACUCUCUAAUAUCGAGAAUGUGACACUUGAAAUAGUCACAUUUGGUGUAAUAGAAAUAUAGUCUAUCUGGAUUUCUUUCACUUUCUGAAAUUCUAAUUGCUGCAUUGCAUCCGCGGUCACAAAUUCUGUUUUUGAUCCUCAACGAUGCUUUUCCACGAAUUGAGCUCCUGUGAUAACUUGAUGAAGACAUACUUGCUCUUCAACUACAAUGCUAGUCAAUAUGUACCUCUAAUACCUGACGAAGACCAUAGCUCACUUCACAAAAAAAUGCCUUUUCUGAAAAAUGGAAUGCAUAGUUUUCACACAUUUUCUAGUUUAUAUGCUGUCAGGAUAGAGCCAUUGCAUUUGAUAGUGCAACGGCUCUUCUUGGUUUAACAAUCAAAAGUUGACUUUUCUAUAUGUAUUCUUUGCUGUCUUGAGAGGAUCAUUGGAGGGCCAAUAGUUUUCCUUUUUUUGUUUUGUUAAUUUCAUAACAAAGUGGUACAUGUUUUCUCCCACAUAUAAUGAGCAAAUUUGGUAGAAAAUUAUGUGUCAUUACUUUUGGUGAUAGAUGGAGGACCAUAUUGGUCCAUCAGCCAAACUUUGUAGGAAAAAAGUACAAGAAUCCUUUCUUGAGUACACUAGAAGAGAGCUAUAGGUGCCCAUAUUAAUUAUAGAUACAUGGUUAGGCGGGGGACUUCUAUUAGUCUAGGAAUAUACACUCACUGGUUUCAUACUUUUUUUAUCUGACAUUAAAAAUUGCAAGGCUGAGGUUAACUAAUUUAUGAAAUGCUUAAAAACAACAGGAGCCCUAGAUAUGCUGCUGAAGUAUAUACUACAUUCACUUAUCAUGCAAGUAUAUUCCGUGCCUUUCAAUGUCUUGAAAGCAGUACCUCUGCUCUGAAUUGCCUCCAUGUCCUAUGUAGUUACUUAUUACUUCUACCAACAUUUUCAUGCAGGCUUUUAUUUCUCCAUUUCACAUAAACCUAUGCCACGAUGCUAAAGUGGAGGAAGGUGUUCACUGGGACAGAUUUUAACUAGGGUUGAUUUGGAGCUCCUCCAGUGAAAAUAGCACCAUAUAUUCAAGUAUUUCCCACUUUCACAUAAACCUAUGCUAUUAUGCAAAAACGGAGGAAGGUGUUCACUGGGACAGAUUUUAACUAGGGUUGAUUUGGUGCUCCUCCAGUGAAAAUAACACCACUUUCAAAAGAAGUCUUGCCUCUUUCUUAUUCAAUGGUAUUACGUUCUUGGCAACUUCAAAUGCAUGAUAAACUAGUUUAUAAUUCUUUCUCGGGGAAAGAAAGCAUAUUGGUCUAACAAGGGCUAUUUGAAUCUUUAAGACCUGAAAACAGUAGUUUCUUCUGAGUCCACUAACUCACCCCACACUUGAACAAAUACAUUGGCAGAUAUUGUUAAUUUAGUUUUAUAAAUUUCAUUAAGUUCCCUUGUAGCUUGAUGAAAAAUGACAUCAACCAACUUAAUUAACUGUUAAAUUUAAUAUUCUUUUGAGAAAUCAAUGAAUAAAUUGACAUGCAAAAAUUGAUCAUUUUACUUCUUGCUUUUCUCAAUUUUAAUCCUAAAUUUUUUCCUAUAAUUUGUUUACAGCUGAAGGAGACAUAUCUCAAUCCUCACCAAUUUCCUCUUCUCUUGAGAUGGGAAACAGUAAUUGUUACAAGAAUCCAAACGUAUUAAAUGGCAAACCUCAAUAACAAAUCAUGCUGUAAUAACAUUAAUAAUUUUAAUCCUUAGGAGAAACCCAAUGGCCAUAGCAACCAGGGUUCACAUAAAUAAAAAUAAACAAGAAUAAAAAAAAUCAAAAUCGAAGUAGAAUAAAAUAAAUAGAUAAAUGUAAUGAUGUAAUUGGGUAUAACAGAGAUUGGCAAACUUACAAGAGAUAGGUGGAAUCUACCCUUGAAUGGAACAGUUUAAGACUGUCCCACAAACAAUACUUAUGCUAUCUUUAAUAGGAACAGAGUACUAAGAGUGGAUGAGCCAAUAGAGGGAACAAAAAAAAAAGGGCAAGUGGGAGAACAUCUGGAUUGUCUACAAGUAUGCAACCCAAAAGUUAUGUCCUCCACUUCUCAAUUUCUCCUGAAUAAUAUAGUGCAAAUUAUUGAUCCCAUGUGAGAAGACCAAACAAAUGGUGUAAAAUGGCCAAGUGCAUUGAAACUAAUGGGAAACUCCUCUGAGAAACUGGACUUUCAGUUCAGAAAUCAGAACUCCAAAAUCCUUAUCUCCUCAUCUUCAUUGUCCAGUUUGCUCCUCUAGAGUUGCAUCAAAUCCAGCUACCGCAUUUCAGUUGACUUUCUUUCUUUAUCCUGACCAACAAAAUCACGCACUCUUGUUUGAAGUUUGUCUGUGUUGUUUCGCUUACGUGGGUCGGCACUCGACAGAGUAUGGGAUGAUUCACUAUCCAGAUCAGCCCUGAUUUUGAUAGACGUGGAUUGAUUUGGACCUGCAAAUAUAACUUGGAAAAAAAAAAAUCAAUUGCAAUUUGACGAGGGUCAAGAACUAUUUGGAGCAUUUAAUUAAACAUUACCAAGUCACUUGAAUUUUAACAUGUUGGUCAAAGAAAUAUGCCAGCUACCAAAAAAACUUGCAGAAAUUAAGUUGAAUUUUCAACUUAACGAGUCACAAAUACCAGUUUACCAAUUGGCUGAAUCGGGUUGCUCUGUGAGUUUCUCUUAGAUUGCUUGUUUAUUGGGCCGGUUUAUCCGUUAACUCUCGUGCAUGUUCUAAUUGUGUGUGUGUGUGUGUUUCUUACUAUUGCAGUAAAAAAGUCACAAAUGCCAGUUUAUGGCACAAGACUUCUGGACACGAUGGUUUUCUUUUUCUACAAUUGUUUCUUUUAGUUGUGAAACGGAAAACAACAAUGAGCCCAUCUAAUAGGUGUUUAUUGGGCACUCAUGACGAGUAUCUAUGAAAUGUUAAAAUGUGUUUUAGGUGUUAAAUUUUUAAAAAUGUAAAAUUAAUUUAAAAAAAAGUGUAUGAAUCUAACGAAGAGUAAUAAUUAUUAAUAUCUGCAUAUACGUAGUAAAUUAAGUAUCAUUGAGCUAUGUUAACAAAAGCCAUCGAGAUAAAAAUCCAACAUAAUUGUUUGUAAUCUAUACAUCAAGUGACUAGUUGAAAAGAUUUUGUAUUGCACAUUAAAAUCACCAAAUGUAUCUACCCUAGUUAUUUUUUGCUCAUUGCUCCAUGUGAGAUUCUCAAUUUGUAUACGACAGGAUUGGUUGUGGGCUUGUAGCCGACAUUUGAGGGACAUUGUUAGUUAGUCUGUUAUAGCAACUUAGGCAAGGAAUCUUAGGCAUAGAAUAAAGUAUUUCCGAAGGCAAUCUAAAAACAAAAUAGACUGUGGAAUUUGAAGCCAAGUAAGUGGACAACUUUCCUUUUUAAUUUUUUUUCCUGCUUUAACCGGGACAAUAGGAUGUUUAAUUAUUCAAAGAUAUUUUAGUACCCUUCUUAUUUAUGUUAAUUGCUGCUAUUUUUUAAAGUUUUUUUUAUAGAAAAAUGUACUGUAACAAUUUGAUGUAUAUGGAAUAAAAAAAUGCAUUUACGGUAAACGUAAAAAUUUUUUGGGAAAAAAUGGCUUUCCAAACAAGGCCUUAGUUUUUCUGAUUCCUUGACUUUCUCAAUACUAAAAUUUAUGGACUUAAUUAAUUUUUUUUCCUUUUUUGUUUUGGGUGGGGGGAAAUUGUGGAUGGUAUUGGUGGUGGGUAAGUUUACUUAUGAAAAUGCUUCUGAAAUUUGCUAAUUGACCUUAGUAGAAAUUAUGCAGCAGACAUACAUGUACGUGAAUUCUAAUUUUAUUACGUGCUCCUUGUGAUUGUGGAGUAUUAAAUUUAAGAUUUUUCUAACGAAUACCUCCUAAACACCCGUUAAUACGCCUAAAUCACAUCUAACUGAUCAUGUUAAUGCACACAUUAACAAUAUAUAUUAAAUUUAAGAUUUUUUUAGCGACUGCCUAAUAAACACUCGUUAAUGUACCUAAAUCACAUCUACCUGAUCAUGUUAAUGCACACAUUAACAAUUAAUACCUUUUUAUAUAUUUUACUUAAUUAACUUUACUUUUCUAAAAAAAUUUAAUACCUGAAUUAUAUAUUAAUGAGUGCCUGCUAAUCAAUUAAGUUGAUCUAUAGAGUGCUGAAAACGUAUACAUCUAGAGUAGUUAUGAUAACGUGCACGCAAUCCAUAAACCAUCUGUCUGGAUUGUUGGCUGGGAUUCAAUAUCCAAUCACUUAUGAACAAAAAAGUACAUUUUACUUCACGAAAAAACAGAAAACGAAACACCGAAAUAAAUUAAUGAGCACUUUCCAGAACUUGCAUAAUAAGUGCUACAUCAGAAGUUUCCCUGUUCACGUAAACUCAUAGGAGGAAUACAAGGGUUUGAUCCUUUUUUUUCCUUUUAAUUUUGGAUAUUGUCACAAUUUCGUUUUGUUUUUUUUUAAUGUGUAUAAUUAUGGGAGAUAUUAAUAAUUUAAGUAUUUAACCAUUGAUUAACUAGAAAGAUAUUCUAAAAGAAUAAAAUGAUUAUCGUUUAAAUUUAAGAAGAUCAUUUUAUACACACAACGCCAGCUCAAUCUAACUGGCAAACAAAAUUAAUUGCUGAAAUUUGUUUUCUAGCUAAUUAUUUAAAUUUAGUUUCAUGAGUAAAAAAGAAAAAAGACAAGUUUUUUUUUUUUUUAAGUCAUGGUGAAGGCAUGGGACCAACUACUACAUCAUACAUCACCUAAUAGUGAUACUUUUCUUUAAAAAUUGUAAACGUAUGUGAAUAAAUGUGUACGAAUGCUUAUAUACAGAACUCUCUACCUAGACAACAAACAGAGAAGAGAGAAUCAAGGGUGUAUAAGAGCUUUGGAAAAAUAGUCUCCAUUUGUCCAAAUUGUAAAAGCUCAUACAGAUUUUUGUACCAUGCAUUUCUAUCCCAUUAUUUUUCCUCUCUGAUAUUCAGGUAAAAUCUUGUGCAAAAAAAUGACCCCUUGGGCUCACAAAGAUCAGGAGGAAGCUUCCUAGGUACCAUCCUCCUCAGUCCUACCUUUUUGUCUUGGUUAUUUAAGCAACCUUUUCUCAACUUCUCUCAGUUUCCCUCGAUACAUCUUCCCCAAACAGCCUGAUAACAAACCCUAUUGGAAGCUGUGUUUCAAACCACGCCCAUGGCUUCCAAGAACCUCCAAAAUAUCAUUCUUCUCUACAAGAUCAUUCUCAUUUGUGGGCUGUGUUUGGUUUACUCAAAAGCUGAACUUCCAAGGUUUGAACAUCCCAUCAAACCCGAUGGAUCGCUCAGUAUCUUGGUUGUUGGAGACUGGGGAAGAAGAGGAGCUUAUAACCAAACAGAAGUUGCAGCUCAGGUUCUUAUCUUUCUGUAUUUAUGGAAACAAUAUUUUCUUGAUUACACUUGACUAGAUGAUAUUUAGAUCACAUUUUUAGAUGGUUUAAUGAAUGUUUUGGAUUUUAUAAAGCAAGAAAGGUUAAGUUUAACAAAUCAUUGCCAGUUGUUCCUGGUAGGGUUUGAACUUUUCCGUUAAAUUAUGCAGUAGAUAAGAACAAAUACAUGUUGUUAUGGUCAUUAUUGCCGUUUGGAAUUAGACUGCAUUAUUUUGGACCCAAAGAUACACAUACGAAAUAUUUAUUUGCUCGGUCGACAGCAUAUAACAGCCUAGAGGUAUUCAUGAUUCUUCCUGUUUUGGUCAGACUACAGUAAUACCAACAAGACAUUAUCAAGACUUAUUAACAAAUUUGAAAAGAUUAACAAUGCCAAGCACAUGUGUAUCAAAAGCCACUUUGUUUUUUUUACAUUGAUUAAUCAAAAUAUGUGCUCAAGGUCUACUUACAUACGAUAUAUCAUAACAUACAUACAUACAUACAUAUAUACAUACAAAUUCCAAGGAUUAAUCAAGUUUAUUAUUACACAAAUUCUAAAUUAGGACAAACAUGAUACUUUCAUAAAAUCAUUUUUUCACCCCUAGACAAUAAUAUGGCGAGUGCAUAAUUUAACUAACCAAACUAAACUUCAUCCCAUUUCUUGCUUUAGGACAAACAUGAAAUAUGCAUAAUAGUUCUUAAAAAAUUAUAUUGACUGUGUAUUAGUUUAGCAUGUGAUUAGUCAAGGCAUUAAUCAAGAAAAUCGUUAUCUUGUUACCCCCAUAACAACAUCUGGCCAUUGCAUGACUAAACUAAACUUUUCUCCCACGUAGCUUUCAACUAUAGUCUUGUGAUGCUCUCCUUGUCCAAUUAAAGCCUCUCAUGUCGGCAAAGGUUUUGUUGCCCAAUUUAUUAGGCAUCCAGUAGUUAACUUUCGUGGUGGAGAUAAGGUAUUAUUCCAUGUAGAUUUGAUACUGAUUCUCUUAAGAUAAACAAGUAUGGGAACCUAUUGGAAGUAGUGGAACUAAAUGUACUCAUCCACCAUUCAGAAAGUUGACAUUUCCUGAUGUCUCUGUCUUCUGAUUUAAGUUUGAUUUUUAGACUAACAUCACUUUGCACCUCCGAAAUUGUAUCACUUUCUUCAUUUGUGUUUUAAACUUUAAUUUUGAACACUUUGUACCUUGAAUAUUCAAUUUUGAAUACUUCGUACUCUAAACUCUUUAAGUUUAUCCCUUUAAAUCUAAUAACCGACAAAGUUAGCAAAAUUCAUGAGAUAAAGGGUGGUAUAAAUUAAUGACAAUGUAUAGUUUUGUUCUACCUGUAAUCCCUUAACUCCUAUUUACUAUUUUUAUGACAUUAUUAUUGAUUCAUGUGAUCCCAAUUAUGAAUAUUAUUAGCAAAAUUGACAAGACAAUUAAUGAAUGAUACAAAUUAUAAUAAUUAAUGUAUCAUUUUCUUCUAAAUGUGAUACCUUGGUUGCUUUUGAUCACUUCUAAUACAUUUUCAUUGACUUGUAUAGUCAUUUAUGCUAUUAUAAGUUUACUAACGUUGCCAUUGGUGGGAUUUAAAUAGGACAAAAUUGAGAGUUCAAAAUACAAAGUGCCUAAAGUUAAUAAUUUAAGUUGCAAGGUGUUCAAAAUCAAAGUUUAGAGUGCAAAAUAAGAAGGUGAUACAAGUUUAAAGGUAUAAAAUGGAGUCCAUCCUUGAUUUUUUUAAAUUUUUUCUAGUAGAAGAUGGUGAGAUUUAAAGAGUGGUGAGGGAGUAGGAGGAUUAGAUCCAGAACCUCUUACUCCUAUAAAUUUUGAUUUAUUUCAAGAAAAUCUAGGACACGUAUAUAAGUGAUUUGACAUUAAUAAUUUGCGCAUUAGAUUUUUUGUCUCUGACAAUUGGUUACAUAUUCCGUUGAAUUAUUAACUCUUGGACCCAUGCCAAAGGGAGGAAAAAAAAAAAACAUCUUGGACCCAUGCAAAUGCGCACUUGAACGAGAAGUUAGUCACAUGAUUGAUUAAAUUAAAGAAAAUCCUUUUGUACACGCAACGCAAGUUCAAUCUAACAAGCAAAAAUAAGUAAUUGCUGAAUUCAUUUUCUAGGUAGUUAAUUAAGUUAGUUUCAUCAUGACUAAAAAAAGAAGAAAGACAAGUUUUUUUUUUUUUUUUAAGUCAUGGAGAUGCAAUGGGACCAACUACUACAUCUUCCAUCUCCUAAAAGUGAAACUUUUCUUUAUAAAAUGUACAUGUAUAUGAAUAAAUGUGUACAAAUGCUUAUGCACAGAAAUCUAUACCCACACAACACGCACACAAAGAGUCAAAGGUGUAAAGGAGCUCUGAAUAAAUAGUCUCCAUUUGUCCAAAUUAUAAAAGCUCAAACAGAUUUUUAUCCCAAGUUCCAUCCCAUUCAAGACACUUUCCUUUCCUCUGAUUUUGUCCAUGCAUAAAAAUGACUCGUUGGACUCGUUGGACUUGCACAGAUCAGGAGGAAGCUUCCUAGGUACCAUCCUCUUCAGUCCUACCUUUCUGUCUGAGUUAUUCAAUCAACCUUUUCUCAGUUUCCCCCCAUACAUCUUACCCCAAACAGCCCUGAUAAUUUAACUCUUUAGGAAGCUGUAUUUCAAACCACAUCCAUGGCUUCCAAGAACCUCCAGAAUAUCAUUCUUCUCUACAAGAUCAUUCUCAUUUGUGGGCUGUGUUUGGUUUACUCAAAGGCUGAACUUCCAAGGUUUGAACAUCCCAUCAAACCUGAUGGAUUGCUCAGUAUCCUGGUUGUUGGAGACUGGGGAAGAAGAGGAGCUUAUAACCAAACAGAAGUUGCAGCUCAGGUUCUUGUCUUUCUGUAUUUAUGGAAACAAUAUUUUCUUGAUUACACUUGACUAGAUGAUAUUUAGAUCACGCUUUUAGAUGGUUUAAUGAAUGUAUUGGAUUAUAUAUAUAUAAAUAUAUAUAUAUAUAUAAAAGAUCAAGUUUAACAAACCAUUGCUAAUUGUUCUUGGUUGGGUUUGAACUUUUCCAUUAAAUUACGUGGUAGAUAUGAACAAAUACGUGUUGUUAUGGUCAUUAUUGCCGUUUGGAAUUAGACUGCAUUAUUUUGGACCCAAAGAUAUACGUUUGAAAUAUUUAUUUGCUCCAGCUCAAAGCAUUCACGAUUCUUCCUGUUCUGGUCAGAAUACAGUGCCAAGCAUAUGUUUAUUAAAAGCUUCUUUGAUUUUACAUCAUAACACACACCCCCCCCAAACACACACACACACACAUCUACACACAGAUGUGUGUGUGUGUGUGUAUAUAUAUAUAUAUAUUAUUCCAUAGAUCAACCAUUGAUGAAGUUUAUUAUUAUAGAGAUUCUGAAUUAGGACAAACAUGAUAUUUACAUAAAAUCAUCUUUUCACUCCCUAAACAAUCAUCUGGCCAGUGCACAACUUAACUAACCAAAGUAAACAUCAUCCCAUAACUUUGCUUUCGGAUAAACAUGAAAUAUACAUAAUAGUUCUUAAGAAAUUGUAUUGACUGUGAAUUGGUUUACCAUGUGAUUUGAUAUAGCAAUAAUCAAGAAAGUCAUUAUCUUUUUUCCCCUUCAUAAUACCUGGCUAUUGCGUAACUAAACUAGACUUUUCUCCCACGUAGCUUUCAACUUUAGUCUUGUGAUGCUUUUCUUGUCCAAUUAUAGCUUGCCUCUCGUCAGCAAAGGUUUUGUUGCCUAAGUUAUUAGGCAUCCAAUAGCUAGCUUCCUGGUGGAGAUAAGGUAUUAUUCCACAUAGAUUCCAUGCUGAUUCUUUUCGCAUAAACAAGUGUGGGAAUUUAUGGCUCAUACUUGUUUCAUUUGAAUUUGGGUUAAAAACAAAAAAAAAUCCCAUAUGGUAUACUUAUUGCACAGAAAAGCCCUCGUGAUUUCAAAACAUACAAAACGACACCUCAUGUUUUGAACUAAUUUGUAAACUAACAGAAUUCGUUAAAUUUAAAGGAAUCCGGUAAACUUAUCGGAAAACUUAACGGAAUCCGGUAACUUUAACAGUCAAGACCGUCAUUUUUGUUAAUUUUAACGAAUUUUGUUAGUUUACAAUUUAGUUCAAAACAUGAGAUAUCAUUUUAUAUGUUUUGAAACUACGAGGGACUUUUUUGUGUAUUAGGCAUAGCACAUGGGACUUUUUUGUUUUUAACCUUUAAAUUUGGAUGAAUAAAAUUGAAUUUAGAGUACGACUUUUAAAUGAAUGGUAAAAAAUUGUUGUGUUUUUAUCCAUUACUGUCUUAAUGUCUACAUUUAUUAUAUUAAUAUCUACUUCUGUUAUGCUGCUACAUAGAUUGAACGGUGCAGUUGAAACUAACAAUUGUAAAAAUUCUGCACUCCUUUUUAAUACCCUUUUUCUGUUUUCUUUUUGAGUAAAAAAGUUAUAUACACUGAAGUACAGAAGAUGAAUCAAGAUGCUAAUGCAAAUGUAAUUAUAUUAUGAUUUUGGUUCAUACUAUAAUUGCUAUCCUCCAACAGAUGGCAAAAAUUGGAGACCAGAUGGACCCAGAUUUCAUCAUUUCUACGGGAGACAAUUUUUACGAAGACGGAUUGACUGGUAUUGAGGAUCCAGCAUUCGAGGAGUCAUUUAGCAAUAUCUAUUUGGGGCCAAGCCUCCAAAAGCAGUGGUACAGUGGUAAUUUCACAACCCAACAUUAUAUUUUCAUUUAGCACCUUAUUUUUCAUUAGAUUAAAUCUUAUAUGUACUGAUAGUGUAUACACAUUAUAACAGAAAUUCAAAUUUACGUUAAUUAUCAUUUAUUCUAUACUGAUAGUAUACACACUGUUAUUGUGUAAAAAAAUUAAUCCUUUUCGCUAGAGUAAAUUUUAUAUAUACAUAUAGUGUAUACACCAUUACGUUGGAUCUUUUUUGCUGGAGUAAAGUUGCCUGCUAAUUAUUGUCCUAACUAAUAUUGGUGCAGUUUUGGGAAACCAUGACUAUAGAGGUGAUGUUUUGGCACAGUUGGAUCCCAUCCUCGGACAAAAAGAUAGCAAAUGGUUAUGUCUUAGAUCUUUUAUCCUCAAUACAGGUAAUUUCUCAAAUCAACAUACUCAAAAUAUAUUAACAAGGGAAGGUGAUAAACCUCAAUACAUAUCUAAGCUCUGAAAAUAAACUGAUUAUUUAUCCAAAGAAGUUUGCUAUAUCGGAAAUAUCAUUCCUUUUAGACAGCAGAAAGUAGUUAUAACCGGAUUGACAUCAUUUUCUUCUAUUAAAUAUGAGCAGAUGUUGCGGAAUUUUUCUUCAUCGAUACAACGCCAUUCGUAGAUAAAUAUUUCUUCCGCCCAGAAGAUGAUAAAUAUGACUGGAGAGGAGUGCUGCCCAGAGAGGAAUAUCUCUCAAAUCAGUUGAAGGUAAAUGUAAAAUUUUACAUAUGGCUCUUGUUAGGAGUAUUUAGUUUUUGCAGUUGCAACACGAGGAAAAUUUAUUUAUUUUGAAUUCCAUUUCUGCACUGAAUUGGGAAUCUUUCGUUGACAUUAAAAGUACUUAACAUUCUCCUCUAAUUAAUCAUAAUAGGAUUUAGACACAGCCCUAAAGGAAUCAAGUUCAAAUUGGAAGAUAGUUGUUGGUCACCAUACACUGAAAAGUGCUGGAGAUCAUGGAAUCACAGUUGAGCUUGAGGAAAGACUUCUUCCAGUUCUUCAGGUAAUCUUGAUUAAUCCCAUUCAGUUGUAAUUAAGCUGUAUUUUCCACUAAUAAACGAAUUUUUUUUGUUGGCUGUACUUAUUUAUAUAAACAUCAAUAAUGUGACGCAUUUUUUUUUUCGAACGGGUCUAAACCUUGAUUGUCAUAUUAUUCAUCGAUGUAUAUAUCUUUUAAGAGAUUAGACGGUAUUAGCAUAUAUUGUAUUUGCCCGUAUAAUAUGACAGUCGUAGCAUAUUUUUUAGUUGAGCUCUUGAUUUUGUUCUUAAUCAUGGCCUAACGACCAAUUAAUCGACGAACUUUCUAGGAAAACAAUGUUGAUCUUUACGUAAAUGGACACGACCAUUGCUUGGAACACAUCAGUAGCCCUGACAGGUAAAAAAUUUACAUUGCAUAUUUUGAUGAGAAUGAACAAAAUUUCAGAUGGAAAAUUAAGAACUCUUUGAUCACUAUUGCAGUCCACUCCAAUUUCUGACGAGUGGUGGAGGAUCAAAGGCAUGGAGGGGAAAUGUUCGGCCAUGGAGCCCUGAGGAGUUGAAGUUGUAUUAUGAUGGACAAGGUUUCAUGACCAUGAAACUCACCAAGUACGAUGUUUAUAUCCAGUUCUAUGAUAUUGUUGGCGACAUUUUGCACCAAUGGAGCCGUUCAAAAGGGCUUUACUCCGUGUAGUUAAAUAGCAUUUUAUUAGAGGUUAAAGCUGUUUUAACAGCUUAGGAAUUAGUUAAAUUUGCUCCAAAAUCAAGAGACUAAACCUAAUAGUAGUACUACAUUGGGGCAAUGUUCGUAGCUUCCUAUAUAUGUAUUAGUAUGGGUAGAAACUGAAUUUUCUUUGACUUGAUCUGUAAUUAAUCUUCUUUUCUAUGUCUGUUAAAAAGCAUUACGCUUGCCUGCAAGUAAUAAAAAAUAAAAAUAAAAUUGGGGCGUAAAUGAUGAAGCUUAAUGAAAAAUAUUUGAGGACUUGAUAGUCCAGUGGCAAACACGUCUGAACAAGAUCAAAAGAAGCUAACAGGCACUGAAAAAGGCAGACAAUUAACACCGAGUAUUAUGUGUUCUCAGAGGUUAAAGUAUCGAACGAUGAACAAUUUGACUACUGAUUCAAAAACUAAUUAUUUUGAGGGAUUAUUUUUACACAAAUCAUAGGUAGACGACUUGGCAUUUUCGUUCAAAUGUAGGCCGGCUUUUUGAAUUAUUUAUUGAUGAUAGGUUGAAAGUAUGUUCAGUGGAUUAUCGAGUCUGUUUCCAAGGGUUAAGUCGCAGGAGCUUAACCUUUUUUUUCUUUUAGUAUAAUUGAAAGGUUUUGAAUCCGAAACCUUUUAUUUAUAUUCCUUCUUUCGUACUAUCUAAUCCAUCUCACCCUGCUUAACCUUUAGCAUAUAUUCAGUAAAACAAGAUGUAAGAAUUUAACAACUAAGGGUCUGUUUGGUUGGAAGUAAAAUGUUUUCCUUGGGAAAAUAUUUUCCGUGGAAGUAAUUUUCCAUGAAAAUUAUUUUCCUUUCAUCAUUUUCAGGUGUUUGGUUAGCUUAUUGAAAAUAUUUUCUUACUUUAUUUUUCUAGUGUUUGUUUAACUUUUGAAAUAUUUUCACUUUUAUUUCUAUCUUUACUUUCUACACAUUAUAACUACAUACUUCUUCCCAUGCAAAAUAAGAAAAUUUAUCUCAUUGUUUAACUUUAAAAAAUCUUGGAGAAAUGUAUAUAUGAAUAAAAAAAUAUCUCCUUAAGCAAUAAACAAAUUGCUGGCCAUUUAGUGUCAAAUAUCAAUCACAUGCAAUGCUUAUUGUGACAUAUAUCUUGCACUCUCACUGCUGAAAGUUUCUCUAGAAAAGAAUGUCCCUAUUAUACAUAAUUAAUUACAAGCAUACGAUGAGCAGGAUGGAGUUUUUUUUUUAUUUUGAAUAUACUAGGGGGAGGGUUGGGUUGGGUGGUACGGGGGAGGGAGUGUAAGGAAGAGGUCUUGGGUUCGAGUCCUCCUGUUUACACUAAAAAAAAAAAAAGAACAUACUACAAGAUAUUUUCAGUAAGUUUGGAACAUACUACAGGCGGGAUGCAUGCAUUUUGGAAAACAACUUCAGUAAGUUUGGAUGGGAAGUUGUUUUCCAUAAGAUGAGUGAAAAUAUUUUACAUAGGAAAAUGUUUUCAGUAACUUUUGUGCAAUCAAACACGGGAAAUUAGGAAAAUAUUUUCUUGGAAAACAUUUUCACCCGAAACAAACGGACCCUAAGAGGAAAACGAAAAGACAAAAAAAAAAUUCAAAAUGCAGUAAAAAGUUUUAAUUCUAAAAUGUUAAGUCCAGUAAUAGAAGAUUAAAGGGCAAGCUUGGUGCUAAAAUUUGGUGCAUGGGUUCUUUCUCAAGGUGGUUGAAAAUGUUUAAAUGUUACUAAUUGGAUUGCCAAAAUCAUUGGCAUGUUCCUUUGCAAACUUAACAACUUCACAUAAAACCAAGCCUACAUAUUCAAACAUAUCAGAGUAUCAUUAGUUUUCUCAGCUUCAGUUAAACAACUUAACUGGGAAAGUGAAGUUCCUUUGAUACUGUAUACUUGUGUUGAAGAAAUCCAGAAGCAUCAUAAAAUAAAAAAAGCAGCUGCUUCCCAUUGACUGAAUUCCAUUACCAUGUACUCUUCAGUGCCAUUGAAAUAGAAUUUCAUUUUCUCUGAUUUUAAUGGUUUAACACAAUUUCUGAGUGCGUAUACCUUGGAGCCCCAUCCAACAGCAAUUUGGAUAUGGCUGAAUUUUGCCAAACGACAAAAAAAAAAAAAAAAAAAAAAAAGGAGUUGUCAAAUUUUCAUGACAUAAAUCAACAUGAGAUUGAAUUUGUUUGGAUAUCAAAAUUUUUCAAAUAAUAUUUCGUUUGCAUUAUAAUUAAACACAUUUUCCAAUUCACCCUUUUACAUUCUCGAUCACUUUUUUAUCUCACAUACAUCACAUCACAAAAAGUGUUACAGUAAUUAUUCCAAAUAAUAGUCUAUCCAAAUCUUUGAUGUAAGUAUUGCAUAGAAUUUUUUUAGUCAAUUACCUGUAAAUGCUACCAAUGUGUUCUACAAAAUUGUCAUGUCCAUUGAUGUGAAAGUCAACAUAUAUUGUUUCCCUGGAAUAAAGGUAAGGCAGUAUAGAUGUUAGAAUGUAGAAACAUAGGUCCUUUAAGGUGCAGUGGUGAAGUCAUAAUACGUGAGGGUUUGGCAUCAACUUUACAAAAUAAUUACAAAUUUAGCUACCAAACUUUUUAAUAUGUUUGAAUUCACCCCCCCCCCCCCCCUUUAUCACCCUUGGAAAUUUUGUAGCUAGGUUCACCCUGAUAUAUAUUCUCCUAUAAAAAUGUUUGAUUACAAGUAACCUUCUUUUUAAAAAAUUUUGAGUUUCCCAUUGGCUGUACGGUCUUAAUCCGGUGUAUUUCUUUAGUACGAAUUUAAAUCUAAGAUAAUUGAAAGAGGAUAUUGCUUAAGUUAGUAAAACAGGCACCAGAAAUAUGACUUUUUUUUUUCUUUUUCUCUUUAAGACAGAAUUCCAUACCAAUCAUAUAUAGAAGGGAGCUAGAGACAUAUUUUAUUUCUUGAUAAAAUUGCAACACUGACAAAUUGUGGGAUUAACACCAAUAGAUGAUCCGUCCAAUCUAACACCAAUUGCGAACUUGAACGUAGAAUCUCUAAUUUAUGCUCUAUUUUUUUUAAAAAUUUUCUAACAGGAAAAAGGUGGAAUUUGAGAAGUGAAAAGAGAAAAUGAGAAAAAGUUUUACAUAAAUUAAUGACACUAAACUCACCCGAAGGCGUGAUAUUUUACGCCAUCUUUUUUUUUUCUUUUAAGUUUUACACCUUUAAGUUGAUGAUAACUGCCCAUUAAUCAUUCCUGAGUUGUAGACAAGUUCAUCCUUAAGAUACCAUAGUUAUUCAACAUUGUCUUCUGAGGGAACAUGUAAAAAGUUAAUUCAAAAGUUAAUACUGAGUUAUAAAGUUUAAAAAAAAAAAAAAAAACCAUUUUACCAGUGCUUUUGUAAGCUAGGGUCAGAGUAGAUGUUAUAGACAAAUUCCUUAACCACUGGAACUUCCACGCCUUCAAAUUAAUUCAUCUCCAAUGAGAAUGAAUGCAUUUGAAAGCGUAAAUUUAAAGUCCACAUUCUUUCCCAUUAUUGCCAUCUACACAACGAAAAUAUAUUAGCACAGGAUUUCAAAAUUCAUAAACUCACCCAGCAAUACACAAUUGCAGGGUAGAACAAUGUGAACUUUUGAACAAAAGAUUGAAAUCUCAAAUUCCCAUUUUUAAGCAUAUUAUCCAACAUUUUUUCCCAAAGAGAAUUAAUAAUGAUUCCCCACUUAUCCUCGUAAUAAUUCAAAUUCAUAACCUCUUAGUUUUAAGUAAAGUGUUUUACUAACGAGGCUGCAUAUUAUCCAAUAUUAAUACGCUACAAAUUAGGACAGCUAGCAUUUCGAAAUAGAGCGAUGUACAAAGCAAAUUUUUUUUCUGAGUUUACCCCUUUUUUCAUUACUGUACAUCCUGAAAUUUCUCUUGACUUCUCAAAGAUAAACAUGCAUGAAGUAAUAUUGACAAAAAAGCAAUUAAGCUGGAGACAUUUUUCUAAUUUUCUUUACAACUAGAAAUAUUAUAACUGUAACCAAAAUUAUAAGUAUUCUAUGUAUACGAAGAAGUUCUCAUCUAGAUUGUGUUUCAUCGCACUCAUGUCCUCAUUUUGAAAAUAUUACAAUAACAUGUUUCUAAAAAUUCUUCUUAAAGAAGCCAUCAAGAUUGCGUGAAAUUUGUUCAAACUCCAUCUAUAGUAUUGAUUAAGGGACUCGAUAAAGGAGGAAUUUCGUGUAAAUCUUCAAUAAAAUGCUAUUGAACUCUUUAGAUGUAUAGAGGGACAAACUAAAGACUUCUGUAGUUAAGACUUAGCACUUGAGAUAACCUAAGAUUGAAUAGCUUGUAGACAACUAAUGAUAACCUGCUAAUCGAGGAUUAAUAACUCAAGAACAGUUUGCAAACUUAAAAUCAAAUUGAUCUGAUUGGUUUCUUUGUCCUAGCGCUUCUCCAAACACCAUUUAAACAAGAGGUUCAUCAGCUUCAAUAGGGUAGUUAAAGUAUUGGAGCUCAGCAACAGAACGUACCAGAUGCAAUCCAAAUGUCAAAAUGAAAAGAAGAUAAAUCAACAUGGGUUUCAUGUUUGCAGAAGUCAUGAGAGAAUUCUUCACAGUGAAUGAGCGUAUAAAGGAAUAAAUUUUCAAUUUUGGCUUUGUUUAUCUGUGGCUGAUCAAGACAACUUGUACUCAAAGUUUCAAUUGUACAUGCAAAUACGAAUAUCGGGGGUGGUGUAUUCCGGGCCUCAGAUGAUCAAGCUUUGAUAGGAUAUUCAGUUUUCCUAGGGUUCAGUAUGAGUUUGCGUGCUGAGGUAUUGGCUCUGUUAGCAGGUCUCUGACUUUGCGGUCAGAAAGGUUUUACACAAAUUCGAGUACAGUCUGACUCGUUGGUGUUAAUAGGCAUAUUGCAACGCAGAUUUUAGUGUCCGUGACAGAUUCGUAGAGAGGUAUUUCAAAUAUGGCAGCUGGCUGAGGGUCCAGGGUAAUUCUCUCACUGCUUUAGAGAAGCAAAUACGGUGGCAGACAUACUCGCUAAUAAAGGUCUAUUGCAUCCACUUGAUCCGAUUAGGGUUUAUGAUCAACCAAGUCGCCUGCCACAGCUGGCAAGAGGGGCAGUCAAGUUGGAUAAAUUAGGUCUUCCUUCUCUCCGAUUUCUUAAAAAACCUUCUGUGUAACUGGCCUAGGCUCCAUUUAUUGUAGUAGAACAAUCAGGAAAGGGCAAUUCCAAGAUAGAUGCGAGGGGAAAUUCGCAUGGACGGGAGAUGGUGCACUCGUACCAGUUGCUUGAUAGCAUGUGAUGUUUUUCUUGAAUUUGGGCUUGUUGGCAGGGAGAUUCAUCUAUUUAUAAGGAGAAACUCUGUCAAAAUUUUCUUAAAAUAAAUAAAAUACUUAUGUUUGUGCUAAAAAAAAAAGCAAAUACGAAUAUCUAUACCUAUGAGUUUUGAUAUUUAUAUAUUUUGGCUUUAAGCAUAUAUAUGUGCAUGUUUUUGUCUUGAGGCUUCAAGACUUAAAAAAAGUCCUGAGUUCGAAUUUCUCUUUUCCCUUCCUAGUUCAUAAAUCUCAUUCCUCCUUUGUUAGAAAUUUGUUUUAAAUGUAUAUAUUUUAGUCCAUGUGUAUAUAUUAUAGUUAUUUGUUGAACCCAAAAAAAAAAGAAGAAGAAUUAUGCCAUUUACAUCCUUGAUGUUUUCACCAUUUAAACUUCACACAAUAAGCUAUUUGUUUUUUUUUUUAAGUUUUUUAUGUCUAAUGUCAACAACUAAAAUCCCAUCAUCCUGAUCAACAGAAUUAAAUUGGAAAUUAUCACAAGUGCUAACCAUGCCUAUAUUCAAGAAUCUAUCUUCAAUACUCGAUUUAAAGUACAAGUGAUUUGGGUGAUUAAGAUACAAAAUAUAUAUAGAAGACUUCUAUUCUAAAAAAUUGACCGGAGAAUUGGUUACUGAGUCUAAGUUGAGAUUUCUCAGAGGAAAUUUUUUGUAAACAGAUUAGAGGACUGAUGUAUUAGUUCUAGCUUAAUGCUGACUUUACUGCAUUGUUUUGCUUGGGUAAAAUUUUUGCUCAUCAACAAAACCAAUAUUUUGCUUAAAACAAAAAUGGAUAACAAAAAAAUCAAAUUAUUCAAUGAAAACCAAAAUUGAUUUACCUUGAAAAUGUUAUCAUAUUGAGAAAAAGCUAAUAAUUGGCUAAGUUCUAUAAACAACUAUAUAUUUGUUUGAAAUCAUUAUGCGAACAUAAUAAUAUGACAAGCGUGAUUAAAUUUGUAAAAUCAAAUGGUUUUUUUUGUAUAAAAAAUAUUAUAUUUUGCAUUGACUAUAAAAAUUUAUUUCUUAAAUCCAUGUCUUUACAUUACAAGUUCACUGAACAUAAUGACUAUGUGGGUAUAUAGUCACACCCCCCCCCCCCCUCUUCCCCUCUCUCAUUUUAGCUUGCUAUCACUUUUUGAAGAUUUGUCAAACUACAUUAAUGCGGCAAAUGAAGUUCCUUUGAUAUUCUAAAAUUAUGAAAGACUGCACCAUAAACAUCAUAAAAUGUGAAAUUAGCUUCAUCUCCUCUGAAUUCCAUAAAUCCUUGGCAAUCAAAAUUGAAUUUCAUAACCUCUGAAUUCCAUGAUCGAACAUCACCUCUCCAAGAUUUAGAGCCACCACCACUUGUCAAAAAUUGGAUAUUUCUAGACAAAAUAUUGUUAGUUUCUUGGCAAUUUAAUUCAUAGGUAAUCAGAUAAAAUCAUUGUUACUAUCGAUAACAUAAAUAUCCGUCAAUACCACUAAUGUGCUCCAAACAGUGAUCAUGUCCAUUGAUGUAAAAAUCAACUUUGUUUGCCUGGAAAAAAAAAUGUAAGAUUAGAAUCAGAUGUCAAAAACUUUCGGCAAAAAUAGGCUAAAUACCAUUUUGGAUCCUGAAACUAUAGAUGCAUUCCCGUUUUAACUUUAAACUUCAAUUUUGAACACUUCACCCCCUAAAGUAUGAAAUCCAUCUCACUUCAGAUUCCUAAAUUUUAAUUUUGGAAAUUUUAAUUACACUUUAAGGCAUGAAAUCCAUCCAUAGAAUUGUCAAAAUUCGUGGAAUAUUAGACAAGUGAUGCUUGAUAUUUAAGAACUAAAGUAGGAUGAAUUUCACGUUUUAUGAGAUAAAGCAUUCAAAAUUAAAGUCUAAUGACUAAAGUGGAAUGAAUUUCGUACUUUAGGAGAUAAAGUAUCCAAAAUUGAAGUUGACAGAUUAAAGUGGGAGUCUGCCUUUAGUUUAGGGAUCCAAAAUGAAAUAUAACAGUAAGAAUGCAACAAGAGAUUACAGCAAAAAGGCUGUAAAUGGGAGGUAUGUGCUAUUUCAGCUGAGGAAGAGAAAAUGAGCUGUUCAACCGUUGAAUCAUUAAAACAAAACCAUUCAACCAAUACAUUUCUCAAUUUAUACUCAAAAAUUUUAAAUUCGAUCCACUCCUUUCAUUAAGUGGCAUCAAAAGUCUAAAGUGUUCACUUCGAUACAAUCGAUACUCUUGUGGUCUUUCCUCUAUCUUUAAUGUGUCAUCUCUUUCUUUAAUUUGACAUAUUUUCAGGUUAAUGAACACAACUUAAUUUUCAGUGUAGAUGCUAGCUAGCAAAUUUCAAUUAUCCACAAUUUUUUAACUCCCAUGUAAUUUCACAAAUAGCAUUAAUAUAUAGACCAAUUUGAAUGCAUUAACUUAUCUCAAAAAAUAUUAAGCAAAAAAAAAAAAAAAAAAAUCGAAUGGGGUUUUUAAGUUCAUACAUUUCCGAGAAAACAUGUCAAAAAAUUUGCAUUUAAUCGUACUAGGUACAUCAUCCCUCCUCAAAAAUUAACUUAAGUAGCUAUAUUCUUCAAGUGGACUUAAUUUAAAAUUUAAGUUUCUUUUUUGGAUUUUGCAUGCGUUUCAAUAUCUAGUUCUUAUUAAUACGAAGAAGAGAGAUUAUAUAUGGUUAUCAAUCUACAAAAUUACCUUAAUUUCUCAAACUUUUCGUUUAUACCUGGAGGAUUGGCAGUAGAGAAUCAACAAGCUCUUUGGUCGCUCCACGCAUGAUGCCCAGCACUUUUGAUUGUGUGAUGACCUGCAACUAUUUUCUAGUUUUCUCUCGAAAUCCCUUGAUGCAAAAUCAACUUCCUGUUCAGGAAAUAAGUAAGAUUAAUCCAACAGCAUCGAAUCAAGAAUUUGGUUUUAAUUAGCAUUAAUGAUAUUAAAAAUAUUUGUCUAACUAUUGUGCUUACAUAAAAUUUUGGUUAAUUCAUUACUUAAAAAAAAAAAUUUGUGGUUGCAUUACCUUUAUCAGGUCUCAAAGAUAAUUAAUUCUUUCUAUACAAGAUGCCUUUCCAAUCAUAUGAAGGAUCUCGAGGAUUUACAAAAUACUCGUCGAUAAACGGAGUCGUGUCUACAAAAAUCACGUCUACAAGUUUCUCUACGGUAGCUUUAGAAAGAACAAAUUUUAGUAUGAUUUGAAAAAAUUAGUAGCACACAUUUCCUAUAAAAUAAAAAUAGGAGUUGCAAGCACCCCUUGCAUAGCUAAAACUUAGUAGACUUCAUAUAAGCAAAUGAUCGAUUUUAUAACUUAUUAAUAAUUUCAUGGUUAAAUUUUUGAAAUUAUUUCCAUACAACAAACUUUUCUUGUACAAAUGUUGAUACGAUAUACUUAUAUCAAAAGGCAGCAGUGGAUUUUGCCUCACCUACAUUGAGCAUGAAAUUUCUGAAGCACAACCAUCUUUUAUCCUUUUCCGUGAGGACGGGACUGAAUUGGGCUUCAACAUUACCUCUAUAAUCAUGGUUUCCCAAAACUACACAAAGAAAAACAUUAAGAAUCAGAAUAUAUAUAUAUAUAUAUAUAUAUAGGCACACACACACACACAAAAAGAAAGAAAAUAAAAUAAAUACACAAACAUAUUGUCUGGGGGGGGGGGGGGUUGGGGAGGAAUUUGAAAAAUUAGGUUUUUUAUUUAUGGGCGAAAAAAAGAAAUGCGCACACACCCCACAUAUUUGCUUUCAUGAUAAACUCUAAAAUUAAAAUCACUCAAUCUGUCAAACAAUUAAAUUAAUGCAAUUGAUAUCUAAAUUCAAUUAGUGCUAUAUAUGCUUAAAAUUAACGUUAAAAAGUUUAUCUGUCUCCUCCUUAUUUUCUUGAAAUGAAUAUUAUAAGAAAGCCCUUAAAUUUUGUUUAUUCUUUCUUUUUCUGAUUACAGUCCAACUUCCACGAUUCAAAUUGAUCAUGGACAAAAAUAUUUCGACUGGAAAACAAAGCCUUACAAGUGUAAUAUAUGCAGGAUCAUCCAUGCUUUUUUAUCCAUCUUCGUAGAAAUUGUCUCCAGUUGAGAUCACGGAAUCUAUACACGUCUAGCUUCUCCCCAUCCAUGAUUACCAAAUCAUUAGCAAAAGCUUUGGUGAUCAAGUCAUCAAGCAAGUUUUUUGUGUUACAGGGUUUUAUCUUUAGUACUUUUUAGAUUAAUUUUUCAGAUUUAUAUUAUUUCUUAUUCAGAUAUGUUGCAUUUGUCACUAAUGUAAACUUCGUAGCAAAAAAGUACAGCGGCCCACAUUCCUGUCGGAACGUGUGAGUAUAAAUCAUAUCUCCAAAAGGAAGAGAAAGGCCACAAAGAAAAUAGCAUCCUACUUCAUCAUUUCACCAAGUCGAAAGUUACCUAUGCUGACAAUUUUUUUGUUUAUUUCUAUGGUUUCUCUACAUUUUGAAACAUGAAAAACAACAGGCUCAUGCUGCAGCCAUAUGCAUACAUUUUUUUUAACGACUAAAAUUCUUUUGUAAACGAUGAUAAACCUACGUGAUAAAUGUUUUCGUUCACCGAUUAAAUUUUAGAGGGGCACAAAAAUGGGAAUGGUAAACAGUUUUUCGAUUCCAAAAUAUGUGAAGAUUUCUGAAUGCACAGACAAGUUCUAUCUUGGGUUGGUCCUUUCUUCAAAAGAGCUAGAAAACCUCCUGUGGUUUUUCAGCAUUUUAACGACAAUAAGAUUGAUAAAGAAAAAUUAGCUUACAAACCUCUGAUUUGUUGUAUGAUCCUUUUCUUCCCCAGUCUCCAACGAGAAGGAAGCUGAGGGAACCAUCAGCCAUUCGAGGGUGGUUUAAGCUUGGAAGCUCAGCGGCAGAAAGAUGGAAUCCUAAACUAAAAGUCCAAAGAAGAUACAGAUACAAGACUCAUCUGACUGAAGCAGGCAGGAUGACAGUUUCUCUUUCGAAGGAAGUUUGACAAAGAAACCGAGAAAGUUUUGCAGCUUUUUGGCUUCUGAAGAUAGCAUUUGUCUAUUGUUUGGCAUGCUGUAAUUCUGUGAGAUAAAAAAAAAAUGAUAUGCUGCAGCGUGCAAUUGAAUACAUAUUUAGAGAAAACUACACUUCAAAGGGUUCUGGCAUUGCAUGAAGAACAGGGCAAUGACAAAUGUAUAUUCAAGUUUACAUGUUAUGAUUUAUAUUUAUAAAUUUUUAUCUUUAUUCUUUAUAAGAAACUGAAAUUCACUAAUACAUGACCAUUUUAGCAAAGAUUUCAAGGUCCAAUCCAAAAACUUGCUGUCCAAUGGGACCUUUUCUUGCUGAAAGUUUAACCCUGUUAAAAACACGAACUAGUACCAAGGCCAACCAUAAAAGGCAGAAUGCAGCCCAUAUUCAUAUAGGCAUGUGCUCCCUUAUCAGUCGCCUUUAGAUCUACUAGUGUAAAAAUUUUACUGACAGGAUGCUCUUAAUACUUUUGAAGACAAACAAAUAGCAUGGGAGUGAACGUUUCACAGUGUUUCAGCAGAAUCACCCACAGGACAAGAAAAGAUGGAUCCAUGCUUUCUCCAGAGUGGAAAGCUUGUAACCAUUUCUUUAUGUAAAUUACAAGAAUAAGCUUCCCACUCAACAACAGCAGCAGAAAAACUACCCCAGUCAAAUAGAUCCUGCACUUUCUUUCCACAAUUUAGGUCCUUGAUAAAGGUCUCUGCCCGUUGAAGAUCUUGCAGAACCGCUGAUUUUAGACAAUUAAUAUCCUCCUGUUGUGCUUGGGAGAGUGGUUUAAUGUCCGCUGAGACUUCUUUGACUUCUGUUGCCUUCAAAGUCGACCACUUCCAAGAGUAAAACUGCGCCACCUGUUAGUUAAACAAUGGAACAGAAACUCAUUCUCGAAUCCGUCGACUUAAAGUACUAUGGUUAAAGAGAGUACCGUAAGAAAAGAAGAGGUUGAAGAGAGUACUGUAAGAAAAGAAGGAAUAACCAUAAGUUGCAACAACUAUUAAAAUAAAAAAAUCUUGAUUUACAGAUACAAAGUAGCCCGAAAGUAACCGCAGAGCUAUGAUACUGGCAGGGGUCAGGUAUUAGAAAUCUCACUUUGACAUUCUAAAGCAAUCUUGCAUUAAGAUAUAGCUUUCUAAAUUUUGAACUCAUUUUAUCUUGGCAUAAAAUAUUAAACCUUUAGCUACAGUGUAAACUUUACAGAAUUGAUCCAUUUAAAGUUCCAUCAAACCUUGGCUGAAACUAUACAUAUCAACUUUCAAGAAGAAUACACAGGAAACUUCAAUGAACUCUACCCAUGGUGAUAAUUCAACCCAAACUCGUUGCAGAAGAAGUAAUGAAAAAAGUUGAUAUGCACUUCUGAUUUGGCGUAUAAGACUAAAAAUUUCCUUCAAUAUGUGAGUCUGCCUAACUAUGACACAUCCUGUAUUGGAUAGCUAUUAAGCUCAGUCCACUUUCCUUCAAAUUGACAACCAGGUAGAACAACAAAAAUAGACUUGUCAAUGACUUACUAGACUUGAAUUAGUCCACAGCAACAACUUCACAUUAUGUAGAAUUUAUGAUCAACAUGAGUAAUUCCACAGCAAAUAAAAACAAGUUCAUUUCUGAAGAAAAGGUACCUGAAGGACAUGCAUUACGUUGACAAACUCCCUGUCAAACAAAUCAACUCCCCUCGCUAUUUGUAAUGACCCCAUCAGCAACUCUAGCAAGUUGUAUGAUGAAUUCACUGCUGAAGGACAUAUCUUCUCGUAAGGAGAAUAAAGAGCCAAUCCAAGCAUAUGCAAUCUUGCACAACGUAUGUCGAAUCCAGAUUGAAACUUCAAAGCUUCAUCAGGAGGAAACCAGUACAUGUUAUUGGAUGCUGGCUGAGGUAAAUAUGAGUUGAGCGAAUUUUGUGACAGAAAUGAAAUCAGUUUUGCAUCUUCAUCAUGAGAUGCAUCCCGACUGAACCACAGGGUAAGGGUGGUCCUUUCUCCUUCAACUAUCUGAUAAAAAAAAUAAAUGCCCAAAGAGAGAGAGAGAGAGAGAGAGAGAGAGAGAGAGAGAGAGAGAGGAGGAGAAGAAAGCAGAAUUCAGCAAAUACAUGAAGCAAAAUUCUUCAGUGAUGCAGGAAUACUUGUUAUGGGCAAGACUGUCAAGGAUAUAAUACAGGAGAGUCCAAUAUACAUCCACUAAUCGCUAAUUUGACACAAAACUACAGUUUCUCCUUGAAGGAAUGGCUUCUUUCUGCUGCUCUUUUAUCCUUGUCAAAGGCAGUCUAACUUAAAUCCAACAAUUUCUGUUGUAUGAAUAAUUGACAACUCCAUCCAGAGUAUUAAGAAAAAAAUUUACAUAUUGGCAAGUACAAAAGAUACGUAAUCCAGAAGAGCAUAUCCACUCUAUAUAAAUGUAUUUAGGAGUUUUUAGAUCAAGUAGCUGUGCCAAAUGUCAGAUCUAAGCAUUUAGAUUUCAUGUAACAUUCUCCAAAUUUAGGAAGAAGAUGUAUAUGGUAUUUUAAAUCAUGAUCUUAUGUGAUAAUCUACUUCAUCUUGGAACUUGAAUUUCAAACCUAAGUCUGUUCUUCAGAAGAGGGACUAAAGCAAGUCACCUUUCUACCUUCCCCUGAUAGAACUUUAGGGUUUCUGAUAAACCAACCGUCUUCCAGAUCUUGACUCUUGGUUUUACUAGGAAGCCUAGGUUUAUAUCAUAAAUUGGAGUAUGCCCAACUUUGGAAUUCCUCCUGCAGCAGCCUAUCUACUGGAUUGAAAUGCAACAUUGAUUAAAUUAGAAAGGUUCGACUUAGAAAUCCUGGCUAGACAUAAUAAUCAUCUGAGCAUAAAGACAGAGAAAGAUAAUAUCUAUAAAGAAACUACCUCAUCGACAGAAUGUAUGUUUCUGUUGUCUGCUGUGUACAUCACAGCAUCCUGAAAAGAUGCAGUAGCGGUUAAUCAGUGCAAGAAAGUCAUAAAUCAUCAGUAUAAUAAAAGUACGGCUCUCUAUUUAAGAGUUUACAUGCUCAGGCAAUGGCAAUAAGCUCGAGCUAAGAUUCUCAUUUUAACUAAACUACAAGAGUUUUCAAUUUCUUUUUUACAUAGUCUCAAUAUUACAAGAAAAUUACAGAUCAUGGGGCUUCAUGUUUACUUUUUAAUGUUCACUUAGUUAUACUCUAUUCAUUUCGUAGUAAUUGAAUUAGAAUAUAAUGCAAUUCAAAUGGUAGAACUAGAACUAAAAUGAUUAUGACUGCAUUUUCUUUCAAUAUGUAUUUGAAUCUGUAAGUUCUAAAGAAACAACCACAGAGUUUGCAUCUGCAUAUCUGUCAAAGCAGCUGACUUCAUUUCAAUCAACACUAUUGUUCAUUUACAUGGAAAAGUAGCAUCUAAGCUGAACACUUACUCCAGCCAUGGGCUCAAUUGUUGAUGGUUCCCCAUCCUGGAAGUGAAAGAGUCCUCCUCUAAAAUCCCCAUUGUAACUAUUCAAAUAACACACUGCCUUCAGCACAGAGGUACAACAAAAUCAGAAAUUCGAAACAGGAAAGUAAUGCAGUUAAAAAUGGAUUUUUCAAUCACAGAUGAGCAAUGAAAGUUGCCAACAUCAAGUUUUUUCCUUUGGUAAGGUAUAGAUAUUACUUAACACUUGGCAAUAAAUACUCCUAGAAGAACGUACAAGAACGAAAGAAUCAUUUCAAAUUCUUGAGCAAAUCCACCAAAGAUACAUCACAAAUUAAAAUACAGAUAAUAAGAAAAUUUAAUGCACAUUAGUCCAUUAUCCAGGCUAUAGACUGAAUCUUUUAGUUUGUCUACUAAUCUGGAAAUUAUCUUAGUCAAACUUAUCCUCUAAAAGCACAAAAAACCAUCUUUUUUGCACAGGAGACGGAAAAAGAAGUAAAAACAUCCAUGCUUGCCUAGAAAAAUAUUUUUUAAUAUCAUCUUUCUAAAUCACCAGGGCAAAUGAAAAAAAAAAUUCUUUUUUUUUUGGGGCAAAUGAAAGAUGUAAUAUGUUCACCGCAAGCUAUAAAAAGAUGUUUCAUCUUGCUUGGCCAAACAAAUACUAUUCAGUUAAUAAUUGAUAUUAUUUCAGUCAAUGAAUAAGGGCAAAUAUGUGUGCAAUUAUGCAUUUGAGUGGGUGUAAAGAACAGCUAAACAGCAUACAUCUUCACAUUCCACAGACAGCGAAUCAUGUGUAUAUUUAAUUUCCACAAUGAACCAUUUACUUUCUGCAAUUUUAUAAAGUACACCUCCUUUAUUGUUUUACAUUUUGUGAGAUUAUUAUCAGACAAUGACUGACUGAGACAAAACGAAAUAGAAAACAAAGAUCAAUUCCACUUAGAUCAAAAUUAAACAGCCAAAUGCUAAAUGAGAAGCAGUAUAUUCUAGAACAAUACUGAAAUUGCUAUACCACUGUGUAGAAAGAAAAAUAGGAUAAAAUAGUGGAGGAAUGAAAGAGAGUAAAUAUACACACCGCAAAAUCUCUUUGUUUUAGAUAAAGCCUGUUAUCAUCACUGUGCCAUCCAAUAUUUGCUCCUUUAGUCCAGCUAAUUCAUCAAACAUGUUAGAGUCAGUUGUUUCACCAGAAUAUGUUCCAUGUAUAAAGAACUAAGCCAGGUAAAGAACGCUCAGUCAGGACAAGAUAAAAACUACAACUCGGAUGAAGUAGAGAAAAACUUGGACAAACAAGAAUAAGAGCAAGCCAUAUAUACUAUCCAUAUGAGAGAAUAUACGACCGAUCAAAGUGAAAAAAAUGGUAAGAUGAAAACUACGACCAGCUACUAACCACUUUUGAAGCCUAAUAAUUCUGGCUAAUUCGUCAUUAAAAUAUAAUAUAGAUGUUUAACUCAUAAAGAUGGCACAAAUAGCAUUUGUAUUGACUUGCAUACUAAAUGUAUAUUAUUUUCAUACGUUUAGUAGCACAUUUCCAACAAAAAUACUACAAAAUCCCUUAAAAUAAUUAGCCCAAAAUCAUGCAGUAACAGAAAUUAGGCAUCCAAGUGCAGCCUUUUCACAAGUUUUCCCUAGUUACUGAACAGCCUAGUGCAAAUUUCUUUCUUUCCCACUCUUUGAUCCUAUUCCACUAAUAACCAUUUUCCAUAUAAAUCUAAUCCUGCAAAACAGAAGAGACAUAUACAACCAGCCUUCCAAAACUCAGCCAAACCUGAUGAGGCCAGUGAAUUCGAUGACCAACUCAUAGUGGCAUCCAAAAUACCCUUCCACUGUCUCCCUCAGCUUUUCUACAUUUUUAUAGAAAACCCACUUUAAAAACAUCAAAAUAACAGAACCCACAAACUAAAAAUUCAAACUACCAAAAAAGAAAAAGAAAAGAAAUUAUAUAUUAAAAAUCUUUUUUCUUUCUGGAGGAUUUUGGCAAAAAAAAUGAAAUGAAAGAACCUCUAAUGGGAACAAAGGGCAUGAUCAGGUGCGCACAAUUAGUAGCAAUUAGAUGAGAAAGAGUUGUGGAGAACACAUUUGGCCUGUAUCCAACUGUGCAAUUGCUAUUGUGUAUGAACUCCAGUUCCUACCCAAAAAAAAACAUAUGGUUUCAAGAAAUAUUUGAUUUAGAAGUUCAUGAUACACAAAAACUUCAUUAUAGAUAAAUGAAAUGAAACCUUGCAAAGGUCCGGAGAAAGAAAGUUGUGGAGGAUGAGACGUGGGUGCUCCUCAGUCUCCUUUGCCAUUGUUGUGAACCAAAAACUUUUCAGCUGCUUGGAAAAAUGGAAAAUUGACUAAAAAGAAGAAGAAGAAGCUAUGGAAAGAGAACUGGCAAAACAGGGUGCGAUUUGAAUCUUCUUUAUUUUGAAGGGUAUUUGAGCAAAUUUGUUUUUUAUUUUAAUUUUUUUAAGCAAAAUUACAUCUAUUUGGUUGCAAAUUGUUAUUUAUAAAUUUUCAUUACAAAUUGUUCAAAAUUACAUUUACUCUAUUGAUUAAUCAAUCAUUAUAAGAUCACCCUUUUCAUAAAUUUCUAAGUAAAAACAAUAAAUUUGUUACAACUUAUAGCUAUUUUUCAAUGGCUACAAAUCAAAUUUUGUGAAUUGAAAUAUCGUACACAUAGCUAUUAAAGUUACGGUACUUUUGAUAAUAAAAGCACUUUUAGCUGCUAAAAAUAACUUUUUGAGUCUUUUUUUUUUUAGUAUAAGCAGAAGGACUCGAACAGAGACCUCUUGCUUACACUUCCUCUCCAUGCCACCCAUACCAUUCCUCCCCCCAACUUUUUGAGCCAUUUGAAGAACAUUAUCUCAUAAAAUUAGGAGUGAAGUUUUUAUUAGCAAAAGCACUUCUAACAAAAGUUCAAAUUUAAUGCUUUUAAAAUACUUUUUGCGUUUUAAAAAAAUAAAACAUUAAAUUUAAUCAUUUUAUCCUAUAUUAUGAACUAAAUAAACGAUAAAAACAUUUAAAAAUUUUUAAAUUACACGUUAUCCAAUACAUUAAUUACUUAUUAAACUAUGUAUCCAAAUAGUAUACAUAAAAGCAUUAAGCACUUAAUAAGUGUUUUUAUCAAAAGCUAUAUUGGUGAAGUAAUUUUCAAUAAACUACCAUAACUUCAAACGGACCCUUAAUACUUUUUAAAAUUCAUCUUGGUUUUUUUUUUAUUUAAAACAAAUUCUAGGUUUAGUUUAAUUGAAUUUUUCUUAAAAGACUGAUAAAGAUAUGUAUCUAUUACUAUUUUGAUCAAUUGGACUUUCAUUCAUCAUCAAUUUAUUCUUUUUUAAGAUAUUUAUCUAACAAUUUGUGCUCACUGAGCCAAGUACAAGAAGUGAGCAGCUGAUUGCGUUAUUAUUUCAUUAAAUUGUGGAUUUGGCUCAAACACUGUAAAGCAAUCCUUUGGUGAAAUAAUAAAUUAUUAAUCUCAAACGAUCUCUACUCGUCUCAAGCUUGAUAAGUAUUUAAGUAGCUUGCUUUGGAUAUAAUAAUGCUUUUUGAAGUAGUUUAUGUAUAGUUUCCUAUCUCAGUAUGAAAAUUUUAAUCAGUCUCAAAUUUUGAAGGGGAAACUUUAAAGCUAACAGGAAGAUUUGAAAUUCUAUGUAGGAUGUAACUUUUGAAAAAUUUGUAAAUGGCGUAUCACAUAUAUACGUUCAUAAAUUGUUUUACAAAAAAAAAAAAAAAAAACUAUGCUGUGAGAAUUUACGAAAUUACCCUUAGCACAAAUACAUUUUAAUUUUAUAUUUUAAAUUUAGUUGAAAAUUUUAUAAAAAUUUGAGAAUAGAGGAGUCAAGUAAUAUUUUUUGAAUUUCUAGAGGCUAAGUGAUAUUGUUAGAAACCUUAGAACAGGUUUCUGAAAUUACCCCACGAAAUUAACACUAUACUCGUACCUUUAAGUCACUAGGAGUGUAGGAGAUAUAAACCACAAAUCAAUUCAUUACCCGCCAGACAUAGUAAUUAACACUUCAGAUUAGCGCAAUGUUAUUGACCUCAAAGAAUAUUAUAUCACCCCAAAAAAAGAAUUUUAUAUCACCAAAUUCUAAUUUUGGGUGAAUUCGGAUUUGAAGCCUCUCUAGUUGGAUUCCUCCAGUUCUGUUCAAUUGUGUAAAUUGACACAAUUUUGACGUAAGUUGAUAUACUUUUGGUCUAAUUGUGAAUUUACACCAACAUUUACAAUAAUAAAGUAUGUGUUAGUAAAUAACUUGGUGUUAAUUUUGUAUUUUUUUUUAAAUUUACCCUUGUCUCUAUUUUCCUUCAAACCUUUAUCUAUACAAUAUAUAAAGGAAGAGCGUCACUUUGUGGUGAAAUACACCGUGUCGUCGUUCUUUAAAAUUUCUAAUAUACCCUCAAUUAUAAGAGCAAAUUUGUCUCAAUUGCAAAUAGCUAUUUGAAUCAUAAGGUAAUUAUCUAUUCAGUUAUCAAUUUACUACAACUUUCUCAUACUAACUUCCAACUCCCACAUAUUCUUCUCCAAUUCCAUCAUGUCCGUUUCAUGUAUGAUUAUCUACAUUAUAAUAGAAUUUGACCCAUAAAAUCUAUACAAAAAAAAAAAGCCUUUUAAAGAGAUAAUUGUGAUAAACAUAUUUUUUUAUUAGUUGCAAAUGCGUUAAAGUGUGCCUUAAGCACUAGUAGUUAUAAUUCACUUUUAUAUCAAAAUUGUAUUGGUUUACACAACUGGAGAGAGCUAAACUGUAGAAACCAUGGUUCAAAGUCGUCGUCAUGGCCCAGACCAUUCCACAUCAACCUCAGUAUAUCAGUUGCGAUCUUAGCGAAAUGCAAAUUUUUGAAACAUUUAAUAUUCUAAAAAUUGUAAAAAAUAUAUAUAUGAUAAACAAAAAUAAUAAAAAAUUAACAAAAAUAAUAAAAAUUCGAGUUGACUCGGUAUGACUCGUUGCGAUUCAGCCGUUUCUUUCCGUCUCAAAGACAUCUCGGCCGAGUUCUUGGUGACUCGGUCAAGUUUUCGACGAUCCAUUAUCUCGAAAUCAUUUCGUCUCGGUAUCGGAACGGAAAGUCCCGUUCCGGUGACGACUCAGUCAAGUCUUUGAUCCAUGGUAGAAAGUAGAAACCCCAUUUCCCGUAAAUUCAACACCCUUCAUUAAUAUGGUAGCCAGUCAAUGGCUGCAGACUACAUCUCCUUCUAUUCACCACACAAAGAGGAGAUAGAGAUAGGGAACGAAGAUAUUUGAUCUGAAAUCUGAGCAAAGCCUCGGCUAAACUCUAAUGGAGAAUUUUGAUGAACUUGCACUCAAACCCGCUUGCUCCAUCUCUUGUUGGGGAGGAAGGAUACUAUCUCCGGUUUGGAGAGGAGGUCAAGGACAAAGGUACAUAGGUGAAAUGUUGUUUGCAAUUUGUUAGUUACAUAAUACUCCCCUCCUUAGUAUCUUGAUUGGCAAUCUCACAAUCAUGUUCUUGAUAUAAUUGGAGUCUUCAUGUUGAAAAUUCAUGUUCCAUGAAAAUAUCAGUAUCAAUAUCGUAAAUAGAUUCAACAUGGUCGAUCAAUCGUCCUAUGGUCGGAAUGGUUAUAUCCAAUAUUAAGAAAUGUUAAGACCUAGCAGUUUUUACAGUUGGAAUGGUCAUAUUUAGUAUUAUGAAAUGUUUACACCUACAUCAAUUGAAGAUAUAUUCAGAGAAAUACUUGAAUGGAACAUGAUAGUAAAAAGAAUUGUCAAAUAAAUUAACAACUUUAAAUUUAGCUCACAAAAAGAUGUGUAAACAGAACUUAGCAAAGGAUGUAAACCAAUUGAAAUAACAUAAAAUGACAAUAAACAAGAGCCUUAGGAAAAAAUUCAGAUGGGAAAAGUUGCCCUUACAACACCAGAACAAACUAGUGGCAAAAGGAUGUCAAUCGGGAUUUUCCUGUGUAUUGAUGUUUAGCACAUGAAAGGAAAUCACGUAUUUAGUUUAGAGUAACUUUUUUUUACAUAUUGUCAGUGUAUAAUUUUUUUUUUUUACAUAAGCAAAUUUAGAUCAUAUCACAUAACAUGAAUUUAAAUUUAAAAUUCAAACCAUGCAUAUAUGACAUACAUUUAAAGCUACCAACGCAAAAAAACUCACUCCACUACGGGUGCAUAAAAAAGUCUAGUAGUUUUCAUGGCCAAAAGAUUAGUUUGUAAAGACAUUCUUUAGAAAUUUAUUUCUGUCUUACAAGUUUUUACAAAAUUGGAUUUUGCUCCUAUAGAAAAUUGAAAAUCUUUAGAGAUGUUCUCUAGAAUUUUAAACUUUUAUCUGACAACAACCUUAAUAAAUAUUGUAUUAUAUAUUUAAGUUUAGAUUUGUUAAAUUUCACCCCCUCAACUUAAAUUUUGUUUGAUUCCAUCCCUAUUCACAAUCCUAUACAUUGUUCUUAAACAAGCAUUGUAAGAUUAAAUCAAAGCUUUGUUUUGACAUAACCAUCAUUUAUUUUAUUUCUCAAAAUUUCUUUUCCCAUCAAAAUAAAGAAGAUAUUCCGAUUAUGUGGAGUUUCAUUUUUAUUACGAGCUUAUUGCUUAGAGAUGGAAUCUAAAUUUUAAAGCUAGUGCAAAAAGCCUUCUAUUUAAUUUAAUGCCUUGUUUAAUAAUUCUCAUAUAAACUUCACAUAUAUUCGACUUUUUAGUUAAUAAGUUCACAAGUAGUGCAACUUCAACUACAGUUUACUGCCAAAAAGGUUAGAUUUGAGAUUCUUUCGAGCAAGUAAAUAAAGAAAACUAUGAGCAUUGCAUCAACAAAUCCAGUCAGACGGAUUUCAUAUACAUCACUAGAUGAUUCCCACAGAGGAUCUUCUGUCCCACUUUUUUGUAUAAUUUUUUGUCCCAACAUUUAUUAAAUCGCCAUAUAUUCUUCAUGAGCAUCCAAUUUGAAUUUUUUCUUGUCCCUUAAGUUCCAACACUAUUAACACAGUAGAAUAUAAAAGGUCACAGACUAAAAAAAAAUAAAAUUUAACUACAAAAUGGGUUUUCAAUAAUUUUUUUGAUAUUUUUUGUUUAUCUGUUAUAUAUCCUUAUUUAGUUUGUUAUUUUUCUACACUAUAAGCAAUUAUUCAAACUUAAAGGGACAAGAAAAAAUUAAAAUCAAAUGUUCGUGAAGAAUAUAUGGCGAUUUAAUAGAUGUUGAGAUAGGAAAUGAUAUAAGAAGUAAGACAGAAGAUCCUUUUGCAGACAAUUCCUCAACAAAACUUAACAAGGAAAAAUGAUUCAACUAUUUGAAUGGUGUGUAAAUAUAUUUAAUGUGUAUUUUAUAUGUAUAGUUAUAUAUGUUUAUGUGUGUUUCGAUGUUAGUUUGAGCUGAAAGAAUCUACUUUUAGUUGUUUUUGUAAUUUAAUAGUUUAAGGAAAGAAAAGUGAAGAACUGAUUGAAUUGAUACUUCAAAGUAUGCAUUUUGCUAGAUGCUUGAGAAGUAGUAGUAUUUUUUUUUCUUAUUUGAAGUAGCACAAGUUGGCUGAUGACAUUGAACACAAAUAGCUUUACCCUCAAAAAAAAAAAAAAAAAAACACAAAUAGCUUUGGAAACCAUGGAAAAUACAUGGAAGUGCUCAAGGAAACCCGCGCCGGUUGUUAAAACUGAUUGUGGGCUGCUAGCAAUUUAAAGAAGAGGCGGGAUCCAAGUUUCGUAAAGGUAGUAUAUAGUAUCUUUUUGCUAGAACUAAUCACAGUUUUCACCCCUAUCUAAACUUUUGAAAUUUUGUACCUUUUUUCUUUUUACCCUUGAUCCCCUCCCCAUCCUUCCCAGUUCUCACCCUCAACAGUCAAAUUUAAAAUUCAAAUCUUAAACUUAGCAGUGGAGAAAACUCUAAGAACCUUAUCUUAAUCACUGGACUAAUCCCAACGAUUGAAUUUUUGUACUUAACCGCUUUAAACUUAUAAUUUCUAGCACAAUUUUAUUUAAGAUGACACCAAUAGAAAAAAGAGUGCUUAUGACUGAUGUGCACUCAUAUUUAGUGUGAACUAUUAAAAAAAAAAAAAACCCAAAGUAGACUAAUUUGAAUUUUCAACAAUAUCCUGAGAACUCUUUUGCCAUUUUCUUUUGCUUCCUUUUUCACUAAAAAUCAUCAUCCCCUUUACACCAAACUACUUUCUCGUACACUCUCUCUUUUUGUUUUUCUCCCUGUGUGAUUCAUUAGUUUUCGCUCUUUUCUCCCACAAAAGAGUUCACUUCUCUCACAAAAGCUAGCUGUAACUUCAGGGACAAAAGUUUCCAAAGGUUGAAACUGUCCUUUUAUAAACACAUGGCCGACAAAAAAUUCCAGGUGUUGAAAGUGUCCUUUCAUAAAUGCAUGGCCGCCUGCAACUCGUUUCAGUCUGCCGGAGUUGUUUUAACCGGAGUGUAUGUGAUAAAAAUUGUAAGUUCUAGGUAUCUAAGUGCAAAAAUUAGAAAGUGUAGGGGCCAAAGUUUUGGUAAUACUGUGUGAUAGUUUAGGAGAGGAAACUGCAAUUAACCCUAAAUAAUGCAAAGCAAAAUUUACUUUGUCACACCGUGCUCGUCUCUUUUUUUAUUCAAAACUAUUCUUGAAAAUUGUUUGUUCUCUCCCUGUUUACUUCUAGCGAUAGAAGUCAAGAAACUAUCCCAGGGUGCUAAAAACUGAGAAACUCCAAAAACAUUCUUCAUUGGCAUUCACCUUUCAGAGUUUGUGGACCUUAGCAAUCCAGGCUUGAAAGGUACUGUAUUUCUUCCCUCCCCUGUUUGCCCAAACAGGCAACAAUUUAAAUUGACCACCAAAAGGCCAUUAGACAAAAUUGUGCGAAUGAGUGUGGGAGAGAUGGUUGCUCAAGAGUGUGGAAGCAAGAUCAGAUAGAAGAGUGUCUAGGAGAUGGAACUACUUCGAAAUUGUGUGAAAGAGUCCCCUAGCUAAUAAAUACUCUUUAAGAAUCCAUAUAGUAUUGACACAACAAAAAAGCAGCAGCAAGCAGAGGCAUUAGACAAAAGACCAGAUUAACACCUUUCCCCAUGCCCUGCUGUAGGUGUGAAAAGUGUAAGUAUCAAUUUUGCCGCUCUUUACAUUUGCUUCAAAACUCAACUAUAUUUUCG
rnacentral:lncRNA from 1 species